rnacentral:lncRNA from 1 species
CCGGGGGACUUUGCUCAGCGGGACCCUGGAACUCUUCUGCUAGAGUAACCGAGAGCUACGGGCUGCGGGGCUGGAGGAGCUGAGCUGACGAUCCGCACGUUGGCGGUGACCGGGUCUCCGCACACAAAGGCCACUCUACCUGGGUGACCACCACCGCGUCUUGAGUCCCGAAGUGCCGGCGAGGCGCGAUCGGAGAGGUGAGGGGUGAGGGGGGUAAGCGCUAAAGUGUGUUGGUGCGUCGGGUGGGGAGGGGCCUAUUAGGCUUCUGACUUGGGAACUGUGCAGAAAGAAGCCACUGCCGGACUCCUGCCAGGAGCUGUAUCUCCUCCAAAAUGCUUCCAUUCCCCCGGGCCCUCCAUCUUCUCCAAGCCCCAACCCUGCAAGAAACUUCUGAGUUAGCAGGUAAAUCCUACACUCUGUCACCAUGGUCUGAAGCCCAGACAAAGAGUGGAUUUGUUAUUAAGUACCUGGGAUGUGGGGGUGAGAGGGUUAACUUUUAGGGCAGUCUGACAUUCUCAGGAAGGAUUUCCCUUGUACUUGCUGCAAACUUACUCAUGGCUCCAGUAAGUCCAAGAUGAAUUAUUAGUAAGGGAAUUGAAAGUGGAGAACUGCAGUGACAGGCAUUGUCCUUUGGUGCAGUCCCUCCCUCUGGGCAUUCAGGAGAUAGAUGUAAGUUACAGAGAGAGUCUGCAGGACCUUCUAAGAGCGCGUGUGUGUGUAUGUGUAUGUGUAUGUGUAUGUUUAGAGCUGGGGCUUUUGCAGCUGGAGAACGGUUGAUUGUUUUCCAGUGUGAUCCAGUCCUAGAAACAUCAGUACACCAGUGACAGCAGCCCCCUGUCCUCCCCCACUGUGUGCCCUCCUUUGGCAAAGAGCAUACAUAAAGGAUUGACCCUUCUUUAUGAGGUGAAGGGAUCCAUAGAUCACAGGAGGCUGACACUGGGGACAGUAUGUGUGGUGGGCUUGGGAUGAAAGCCAGUGACUUUUGGCCAUGUCAGAGGACGUUUUAGAAUUUGGGGAAGAAAUCUGCUGCUCCUCACUGUCAGAGAGUCAAUUUAAAGUGAACCUGGAAACUCGUGGGCAGAGAAAACAACAGCUUUGGUGUUUACGAUUGAAGACCAUUAACAAAGUGUGUGAAAGUUUUCUAGGCUGCCAUCAAGCAGACAUUGAGAACAUUAGGAACAAGGGCACACCAAAAAUAAACAUAAGUGAGUGGUGGAUUUAAUCAGGAAACAGAGAUUGCUCUUUGAAAUAUGCACAGAUUAUCCUGGUUAGCACCUACUACUGUGUUUUCAUUUGUAGAAUAAUUGCCAGAAGCCUCCCCAGAGACGUGGUACUUUAGUUAGGCACAUUGUGAGCUUCUGAAAUGGAAGUUUCGAGUAUUGUAAGAUAAAAUCUGUUCAUUAGGAAUUCUGUGGGACAUGGGUUUAGAAUGUACUGAUGCAGGGGCCUCUGGGUGGCUCAGUUGGUUAAGCGUACCACUCUUGAUUUCCGCUCAGAUUAUGAUCUCAUGGUUCGUGAGUUCAAGCCCCACAUUGGGUUCUGUGCUGUCAGCAUGGAGCCUGCUUGGGAUUCUCUCUCUCUCUCUGCCCCUCCCUGGCUCACACCCUCUUCUCUUUCAAAAAAUGAACGUUAAACAUUUUUUGAAAUGUAUUGAUGCAGAUCAUAGUAACAACAUUUAGUAUUUCAUAGCCCUGUCCUGAGAGCAUCCAGAAUACCCUAGUGUGUAGCCUCGAGGACACAGGUUCCGGUUCAUAUGUUGUUCAUAUGCACGUUUACUUCAACAGUUGCGGGAGAGAUAAUUUCCAUGGAGCUCCUGGAGACCUUUGCUCUCCCUGCCUUCUUUAACAAUCGCACAUCCUUAGUAUCAUUACCACUAAAAUUACUCAUUCUGCUUAAAUUCGAAAUCGUUAAAACUUUCUUCCUUCUUCAAGUAGUUAACUCAGAAUUUCUGGCUGUAAACAGAAGUUUCAAACACAUCCAGUAUGAAGUAAAGAACUUUGGUCUAGAAAUACAUAUUGUUAUCCAAGCUGCAAAUUAUCCCUUACCUCGUCCUGAAAGAUUUCAAACAGAAUGAGAGAGGGGAAAAAGCAUCUUUGGCAAACCAGAUACUUGUGUAUUUAAGGACUUACUAAGAUGUAUUGCCUGGGUGUGUGUGUGUGUGUGUGUGUUGUGUGUGUGUGUGUGUGUGUGUGUGUGUUGCAAGCAUGGUCAGAUGCUGAUGAUUACAAGUCAUAUAGGGACAAUGUUUUUCAAAUCUUGGAUGGGUUAUGUGCAGGAAGGAAGUCUACUAAGGUUACUUAUUGUAGUAAGUAAUAGGUAUGGUGGCUGUCAGUGUUUGAGCACUCAAAGUCUGCUACCUCGUGAGCUUUCUCUUGAUUGAAGUCUGUCAUUUCUUAAUCUUAACCCCCCACACACCCCAUACCUUUGCACUCGCUCUCUCACUCUCUCUCUCUCUCUCUCUCUGUCCUCAGGAGAAGAGGUAAUAAUCCGUUUCAUCUAGCCAGAUAUAUCUGUUUCAGCAUCUUGGGGGAGAUAAACUUAUUAUUUUUGUGAAUUGGAGUGCGUAGAAUCAGAAGUAACCUCUCAAAUGGAGGCAACUUGGUGCAAUGAAAAACAGGGGAGAUUUGAAUUCUAACCCUAUUUAUUUGUCACGUACCUUGGGCAAAUUGACAUAAUCUGACUUUCGAUUUCUCAUCUGUAAAGCAAGGUCAGUGCCAAUCAGGAUUAAUCGACAGAAUGACACAUCUUGACGCACAUGAAAGGGCAUUGUUGUUGUCAAGUCCUAAACACGUGUGUCGCUGCUACUUCCAACACUUUUCUUUCUCUCAGAUCAUUAAAGGGAACAACAGUUCAUCAACCCCAAAUAUGAAAACAAAAUCAGAAGGUCAUGAUUUGCCACUUUGAUUUCCUCCCCCCAGAAAGAAGUGGGGCAUAGGUGUCACACGUCCUCUGGAUCUGUCUCUUUCCGAUCUUUAGCUAAAAGCCGUAGAAAGACUAAUGGUUAUACUAACACCUGAAUCAAAGGUAUGGUGAUUAUAGACUGCCCACAUAACUUUCCAAAAAUUCUGAAUGGUUUUCUUACCUCCUUUUCCUCUUCUUCCUGUCUACUUUCUGUGCAUUUUGCUGAUGCUCUUGGGACAGCCAUUUGAGGAUGUACCUUUUGCGUUGCACGUGAUCAGUCCUUUAUUAUGUAUAUGUGUGUGUCUGUGUGUGUGCGCACGUAUGAGGCAGAGAGAGAGGGACUGAGAGAGUGAGUUCAGAGGAAUUUUCAAGAUUUUGAGCCAUUAUUUAAAUUCAGGUAUUGACAUUUGCAGCCUUGGCAUACAGGCAAGACUUUUUUGAUGAGAACCACGGCAAGAUUUGGACCAAAUGAGGGAAUACUGUAGCAUGCAAGAUGCCGAACAGAUCAUUUGUCAGGAGCAGGAACGUAUUGCUUCUACACAACUUAUUUUAUACAUGAUCUAACUUUAUAUGAUUCUGUUCACUGCCUGGCGGGGUGUGUUGUGUGUAUUAUUCUUUGUUCCACUGAGUUUCAAAAUGCUAACUAGCACAAGUUCAUUAAUCCCGAUGAAAUUCUUGGUAAGUAUGUGGUAAGCAUGAAUAUCUUUUCCUCACAUUUUUAUGCUGAAUAUAAUUGUAUGUUUCAGUUUCUUACCCCCAUCUCUUUCUCACGGGCAACAUUGCUCAGACAGUCCUCUGCAUACAUAACGUAUGCCAUUAUGAUGAUAUUAAUGUUGCAUUUAUCAAAUUGCAUGACCAUCUGGUUUUUUGACAUGUAUGUCUUCUCCUUCAGCUGUUUUUAGACCUGACAUGUAUCAACACAGCCUUGGCAAUUAAACCAGGACAGUAUUUUUUUUGAAAAUCCAUUAUAUUCAUCAUUUAAAAAAAAUUCACAAAUUUUGUGAGGCUUAAAUGAUCACUUAUGUUACACCAAGAAGGAAACCAUGGUUCAGAAAGAAUAAGUCACAUGUUCAGGCUCUUAUGUGAGUGUCAGGGACAGAGCACAAUUUGGAAACUUUUUUGAUCUGACUCCCAAAUUAAUGCCUGCCUUGUGGAUUUUAAUGUAGGCCAUAGAAAUCCAAGGCUGUUAAGAUCUGUUUGUAAAAUUAUGCGUCAUGAAUUAACUUCAGAGGAGUUCAGGGAGAGGCACAUCCUGGUUAUGGAUGCUCCAUCUUGAGAAAAAGGAAUGCUUUUUUUUUUUUUCAACGUUUAUUUAUUUUUUUGGGGGACAGAGAGAGACAAAGCAUGAACAGGGGAGGGGCAGAGAGAGAGGGAGACACAGAAUCGGAAACAGGCUCCAGGCUCUGAGCCAUCAGCCCAGAGCCCGACGCGGGGCUCGAACUCACGGACCGCGAGAUCGUGACCUGGCUGAAGUCGGACGCUUAACCGACUGUGCCACCCAGGCGCCCCAAAAAAGGAAUGCUUUUAAUACAUACCUGGCAAAUUUCAUUCCUUAGUUCCAAUAGUGAUUACAUUGUUCUCAUACUGUCCUCUUCAUCUUUAAAGUUUAUUUUUUAACUUAUUUUGAGAGACAGACCAAGCAAGGAGAGGUGGGGCAGAGAUAAAGGGAAAUAAGAGAAUCCCAAACAGGCUGACAUGGGGCUCAAACCAACAAACCCUGAGAUCGUGACCUGAGCCAAAACCAAGAGGCGAACACUCAACAGACUAAACCACCCAGGCGCCCCUUCUCUUCAUCUUCAGAGAGCCUUAAAAGUCAACACUUGAGUGAUUCACUGAGCACAAGUUCAUAGGAAAAUUUUGAGUUCUAGUCGUAGUUCAUUCAUUUCUGAAUCAACAAGAAAUCUGAUUUUAGCUGGACAUUGGCUGUGAAAACCAGGUUUGGUGAUCAUUUGUAAAACAUUUUUUUUUCAGUUGACAUUUUAAAUUUGAGUAGAAUUGACUUUCUUUAACAAAGUUGUAGUUUUUCUUUUCUGAUCAGGGCUCUGGCCCUAAUUAUGAAGGCUAGUGCAUUGUGACAUGGAAAGCAAGACGCUGUAGAGGAAGAAAGUAUAAGAUGUGGAGGCAGAUGGACCAGUUUGAAUCUCCUCUCUAGGAAUCUAGACUAUGUGCUUUCUGCUUUCUGAUGACACAUAGUCAGCUUUUUCUCUGGAGCUCCACCCAGGUCAGAGGCAAUGUUUUAGUGUCUUCCAUUUGAGGGUAUUGAGCUCUUUGUACUUGUGAGUAAAGUUUUGGGGAAACAAGGAUGACAGAUUGAUCUGUGUCCUUGACAGUGAGCAAACCUUCUAUUUCACAUGAUAGGAAAUACCUAUCUCCCUUUUGUUCACGUACACAUAUGUGUACAGAAAUUCCUGAAAUUUGAAACCCACUAUUUAAAUCAGGUACUGGUUUUCCUAGUAAGACAUAAAGACAUACUAGUUUGUUUUAUAUCACUUUUGUGUUGGCAAGCAUGCAAUCUUUAGCUACAAAACGCGUAAUCUGAGAAUAGGAAUUAAGCUUCUUUUUGGAAUUUGCUUGUACCUUCUAUAUCAUUAAAUAUUGACUAUAGGGGAGGUGGGUUGGAGGAUGUGUUAAAUGGGUGAUGGGGAUUAAGGAUGAGCACCAGGUGUUGUAUGGAAGUGAUGAAUCACUAUAUUGUAUACCUGACACUAACAUUACACUGUCUGUUAACUAACUGGAAUUUAAAUAAAAGCUUUUUAAAAAAUUGACCCUGGGGAUGAUUCACAUCUUUAUCUUAAAAAAAUAUAUAUGAAUAGAAUAGAAUAGAAUAGAAUAGGACACAAAACCGUAGAAUUAGGCACAAAAGUAUUUAGAAUGUUUUCUUAUUUCUAUCAGUAAUGGCUAACAUGUAAGGAACACUAUGGGCCAGGGACAACACUAACAACAUUAUGCAAAUAGUCUUACUAACUUUUCAUUCUACAGGUAUUUGCUGAGCACCUGGUAUGUUCAGGAUACCGAUAAAGAAGUGUGUGUGAGAUGGUGUAGAAAGUCAUGAACCUUUAUACGAGACUGUAGAAGAAGCAGGUCAUCUGAUGGCAGGACUGCUAGGGAAGUAAAGGUGAGACGGGGGCCUUCUGGCUGGGGUGGUUAUGAUGGCUUGUGACAAGGGUGAUACUUAAAUUGGAUCAUGAGUAGUAGUGAGAACUUUAAAACGGGAGUUGUGAGAGAGCCAUAGCUCGGGAUAGGCAAAAGAACUGAAGAGCAAAUGUGGAGAGGACAGAUUAAAAUUCCUUAAUCUACAAUACCAGUUUUGAAUGAAUAUGGGUAUAUUGCAUGCCUAAUGAGAAAUUGAAAAUCGGUCUCCCCCAAAACAAAAAUAAAAACAGAAACAAACCCAUGCCAUCCCUUAGAGAUACGAUUGCCCUUAUUUGCACAUUUACAUCUCAUCUUGAAUAUCAUUGCUUUUUUUUUUUUUUAUCCUGACUUUUUCCUCAAACACAGUUUUCAAAACAGAGACUGUCGUAUUUAGUAAACUCUGUCAGACAUCCUGAGCCAGGCUACCCAACUGCCACUUUGCUUUAUGUCUUUAAAUGUAUAUGCAAAUUCCAUGACUUUCCUCUCUGUGUAUGUUGACUAUUGUCCCAUACCUCUCAAAAGUAUGAAGAAUGCACGUGUGUCUCCAAAGGCAAACUGGCCACAUGUCGUCUCUGCGAUGGCCAGAGGUGAUGGCCUGGAAGAGCUGUGGCCAGUGAGGAGGGACCAGACUCCUUGGAAGAUGAAGGCCACUGCAGAGUGCACACUCCACUCAGAUCAGGUGCGUGUGUAGGAGAGGAAGAAGUUUCCUUCUUUCCUCCAACGUGCUUCCAAUUGGUUUAGGAAUUAAAUUGACAUGAGGCAGAUUAACAGGAUAAAAAAAAAUAACACAGUGCACACAGAGGCACAGUAAUGAUACUGAGACUUCAAGAAAUGAUCGGGGCAGACAGUUUUUAUACUUUCUCGACAAAGUGACAAUAAAUCUGUGAGGAAGUGCCAGGAAAAGAAAAUGUAACUAUGGGAGCUGCAGUUAGUAAAGAAUUCUAAACAGAAUUUGGGCUGGGAUGGUAAAAUAGUAAAAAAGUAACAAGGGUUGUGUUUCAAACCUCCUUGGCUCAAAUUUCCGAUCUCUGGUGAUAGAGAUUGUCUUUACCUCCCAUUCACAUUGGAGAUUUCUUGCUUUCUGGAGACUAAUGCAGGUGUUGGGGUGGGGGUGGUGGCAAUCAGAGUGCUCUUUUAACCCUGGUUGUCUCUCAGAUAACUUUUAUUUAAAAUAAUCAAUAUGUCAAUGCAGCACAUUUGGGAGCAGCUGGCUGUUGGCCCCUACAGAUGCAAUAGUUGAAGCUUGGCAAGAAACAAAGAUGAAAUCUUACUACGUGAGGUUAUACUGAAAGAAUAGGGCUUACUCUAAAAUCUGGGUAGGAAUAAAAGGACCUGAAUACUCUUGUAGGAAAUCCUACCUGUACUUUUACAUGUACAUCAAAGCUGUCAUGUCUCUGUUUCUGCUGAUAUCUACUGAAUAUGUUUAUACUACCUAUAUCAGUAAUGUGCCUUUUUGCUGUUCAAAAUGCUUCGCUUUGGAAGAAUUUUGUCAUAUACUUCAGUUUAUUAUCAUCAUAGUCCUCAGAGAUGAGAAGGACAGGUAUUAUUGCCUACAUGUUGUGGGAAAUGAAGCUGAGGGAUGGCUGGUUGAGCAGAGAGAUUUACAUGCCAGGUGUUGGAAGAAGGGGGGCUAGAAUGUAGGACACAGAAUUCCGUGGAUACCUGGGCUUGCUCAGGGUUUUUUGCCAUAGGUUAAGGAGUGAGUUAUGUUUUGCCUGAAGCCUGCAUUCCUGCCCAUUGGGGACCACCAGUGGGCACAGGGUUCCUGAAGUCCAGGAGAACCGAUAAAAGUGAUGUGUUAGGUGGUUGAGGGUGAUUGAGGGGUCAUCAUUAGCCUUUAGAAAGUGACCAUACAAGGUGCCAAUAAGAUUUACUUCAAGUCAGGUGCAAUUGCCUAAUGAUACAAGUGUUAUUUUUUAUGCUGACAAUUGUACAUCAGACAUCAAUGGCUUCUUUUGCUUUUCUUGUAUCUGAUUGAGGCUGGCUGUUGGAGACAAGGCCGAGGGGAGUUUGUUGAACACGAGAGCAACUCUGUUCCACCCAGAUACGCUGUUUACAUGACAUAACAGAAGGUGACUUUUAACCAUGGUAGUAAAAGUCACCAUGUCUGUUGAGCACAUUGUAGAACAUCACUGUUAUUUAAUUUAAUCCUUACAACAACCCUGUGAAAUAGGUAUUAUCCCCGUUCUACCAUUGUGGAAAGUGAGGCUCAGAGUGUUACUAACUGGGCUCCUUGGGAGUUACUACAGAACUACCGAACUCCUUGUAGUGUAGUACAGAACAAAUGGGAGUUCCAGGCAAGGCUUUUAUUGGGAACUGUGCUUAAGCACAAGGGUGACAGAACAAAGGAGAGGAUCCUUCAGGCUGACUCUCAGAGCAGAAGCUAAGGAAAGUUGCUAGAGGCUGGUGGGAAAGAAGUGACAUCCAAGCAUGUAGAGUGGGGAGAGAUACAGGAGGUCGGCAUACAGGUGCAGUGGGCAGGACAUGCUUCUUCAUGCACUGCAUGUCUUAUUAAAUCUUGUUAAAUCUCCACCUUUGGGUGUGAUUUUUUAGUGUUAUAGUGAGGGAGAAAGUUGGUGAAAGGUCAAGUCAGCACUGGGGUCCACCUUGGCACAGACUGGUUUGGUUCAGUCUUCACCAGUCUUCCUGGUUGAGUUCCUUCUUUGGUAAGCAUCCUUCUUCCAUAUUUCUACAAAGUAUGCUUCUCAGGAGGCAUAGGGUUUCAGCUACCAGCAGAUGCUGAAUUUCAAGGUCAGAGUUGAGAGGACCCAAGUCCAGUCCCUGCUGGGUCUUCAAGAGUAAGCUGCCACAAAUUACCUAGCUGAAAGGUGGUAAACCAGGGAUUUGAGUUUUGUUCUGACUUUGACUCCAGAGUUCUUUCCUCUGUCACACUGCCCUUUUGUAUGGGUUCAUUUUGAAGUUUCUUAGAAAGGGAAUUCAUGAGUCAGUUCAAGUGAUGGUAGGGAGGACCCUUGGCAUGAAGAGAAAAAUCUAAUUGUGUUCCUUUCCACAUUAUUCUGUUCUCAGGUUGUUGACCUCUUUUUCUUCUUUUCAUGAUGUCCACCCAUUCCUAUGCAUGCCACAUGUAGCGUCACCAACAUACCAUCUCCGGCUUGCUCUCCAGGAAGAAUGAAUACGUGGAAGAUGACGUUUGAUUCUUCCUGCUGGCUGCUGACCCUAGAGAGUCAUCAUGGACAACAUGGACACUCACUUCAACAUGAGGCUACUGAGACGUGUUAUCAGGUAAUUGGCUAGUCAUGCUGUGCCCAGUAGCUGAAGGCUUCCCAAUAGCUGAAGGCUUGAUGGUUCUAGGCAUCUUCCCUAAUUAGGAUGAGAGAGGACAUGGGAACCCAAACUCAUGGGUCAUCUGACCCAGGGCUUGCCUGUUUGAAAGGUCAAAGGUCUUCUGUUUAACUCUUCACUUCCCACACUCUCUAGAUUAGAAUCAAGGCACUUAUGUCACUCUGGUUUGGAAAUGCUGCUCUACUCUGUACUCGUCCUGCCCUUCAUGUUGCUGGGUAGGUGGAGGGAUAUUGAACUGGGCAGCCUUGGGUUCUCCAGCUGGCAACCAAAACUACAUUCAGGGAUGGUCCUCAGGCCCCACAUUUAAAUAAUCUGGGGUGUUUUAAGUAAAUUUUGCCUGUAGAAUUAGUGUUCAUUCUGUUGAUGGGUGUAGGGGAGUGAGCAAGGAUAUUUAUGUUUUAAUAACCUCCAAAUGAUUCUUAUUCACACUAAAGUUUGAGAAACAUUUCCCUAGAGGAUUCUUCUAUAGGCUUCCAUGAACUUUCUGAGCUUGCCUACACAUUGUGUGUACUUUUUUUUUUUUUUCUGGAAAGAAUUGAGGUCCACAGCUUUCGAUAACUUCUCAAAGGAAUCUGAAUACAGUGGGGUAAGACCCUCUGAAACAGGCUGGUGGACAGAUGAUGAUGUACACAUAAGGUGUCAGAAAGAGGAAAGACUAUUUUUCCUUGGGAAGGAAACAGUUUUUCUACUGUUGAAACAAAUACUUCAUUUUGUAGUUUUGUAAUUUUGUGAUUACAUUCCCAUUUUGUAGUGGGACCAUCUUGGUACCAUCUUUCUUGGUUAUCCACAUAAACAAGAUUUGUGUUCUAAGGAUAAAAUACGGUGUACUCUUUUAACUAUAACAUAUUGAUCAGUAGCAAAGACUUUGGAAAAGGCUUCUUGGGUUUGAAAUACUGCUUUAUCAUUUAUUAGCUCUGUGACUUCAUGAAAAUAACUUACUCUAUGCCUCUAUUUCCUCAUAUGUAAAAAUAUUCUUCUUAAAGGGUUCUUCUUAACCCCUCUAAAGGGUUGUUACGGUUGUAAAUGGAUUGGUGAACAUAUAGCCCUUAACACAGUACCUGGUACAUAGUAAUAAAUAUUAGAUUUAUUAUUAUUAUUAUUAUUAUUUAUUGUUGUUACGGUCAUUCAAUUAAUAACACUCAUCAUAGUAUAUCUAAUGUCCACUUAGCAGAUAUGUAAUAUAUAUUAUCUCUCGUCUGUAAUUAUGCUGUCUCCUUUGUCCAUUUUCACGUCUUAGAGCACUGAGGUCAUCUCUCCUUUUUUUUUUUUUUUUUUUUUUUUNNUUUUUAAGAGAGAAAGAGUGCCCACAUGCAUGCCAGCAAGGGAGAGACAGAGGGAGGGAGGGAGGGAGGGAGAGAGAGAGAGAGAGGGAGGAUCUUAAGCAGGCUCCAUACCUAGUGUGGAGCUUGACAUGGGGCUCGAGCUCACAACCAUGAGAUCAUAACCUAACCCCAAAUCAAGUGUCAUCCACUUAGUUGACUGAGCCACCCAUGUGUCUCCCCUUUCUUAUCUUUAAAAAGUGUUUUUGUUCUUUUUUCUAUAUAUCCCUCACAGUAUUUAUAUCUAUUCACUGAGAGCGAAUACUUGCUAAAUUCUUGCUGGGUGAUUUUGGAUUUUGGUUUUUUUUUUUUUUUUUUGGACUUUUCUUGGUCCUCAAAAGCAAGAAUACCCAUGACCUUGUGCAUGAAUGUAAUAAAAUAUUAUACAGCCAUUAAAUGUAUUGUAGACCUGUAUUUAAUGUCUUAGCAAAUUUACACAGCAAAGCAAAAGUUAAAAACAUAAAAUUUUAAAAUAGUAGGAUUUUAAGUUCCAUGAAGGUAGAAAUCUUUGUCUGUUGUGUAUAUAUUUUAAAUAUAUAACAGGGCAUCUGGUACAUAAUAGAGGCUCAGUAUACUUUGUUGAAUACAAUUCUAUUUUUGUAAAAGAAAUGUAGAAAAAUUUGGAAAAAUAGGACUAAAAUAUUAUUGAUUAUGGCUUUUUAACUAUCAUUUAAAUUGUGGGGUUUUUGGUGUUUCUUCUAUGAAUAUAUGCUAUUUCUGUUACUUAAAAUAUUUUUUUAAUUAAUUUUUUUAAGUUUAUUUAUUUUGAGACAGAGAGAAAAAGCAUGAGUGGGGUAGGGGCAGAGAGAGCGGGAGCGAGAAUUCCUAGAAGGCUCUGUGCUAUCAGUGUGGAGCCUGACAGGGGACUCAGACUCACAAACUGUGAGAUCAUGACCUAGGCCAAAAUCAGGAGUCAGACGUUUAACCAACUGAGUCACCCAGGCACCCCCCAAAAUAUUUUAAACUUAACAAAAAAGAUUAUGAACCUUAUAAGCUUCAUUAUGCUUCAUUUAAGGAACCUAAAUUUGACCCCAGAAAAUCUCUCUCCAAUAACUAGUGUUCAUAGAUAGUUUUGAUGAAAGAGGUGGUGAGGUCACUUUGUGUUUUUUCUUCUUGAUUGUGUGAUAGCAGACAUUCUGGGCCUUUCCUCAUCAGUUUCUUUAAUUAGAAAAGAGACAGAGUUACUUGCACCAAGACUGUAUACAAUACACUAGACAUUCUGGUGACCUGUAAUCCCAACAAAGAAAAAAUGUAUCUCAAUUUAAAUAUCAGACAUUCGCUUGAUCUUGAUAUUCAUCUACGUGUUUACCUACACGUACAUAUUCAAAUACAUACACACACUUACACUGUACACCGUUAACCAUAUGUAUACAUUGUGAGUCAGGCAUUCAUAUUCUACCUGAAACUCCUUACCCAUGAACGUGAGUCAUUAGAAGGUGUCACGUGGCUGUGGAAAAGAACGUGGCUGAUUGAAUUGUUUAAAUCAAAGGCAACCUCAGACAAAGGGAGAGAGAAAGAGAAGGUAGAGAGGGGCUGAGGUAGAGAAAGAAGAGAAAGAGAAAGACCAAAAGACUAUGAUAGAACCAAAGUGAGAGAGAGGGAGAAGCAGGAGGGAGGGAGAGGGAGCGGGGCAAAGAGGCUAUGUCAGAAGCAUGGGGACCAAGAGAACCAAAGAGAGAAUCAGAGGCAGAGUGAAACUGAGCAAAUCCAGUGACAAGGUAGAACUUGUAAUUCAUCAGUGUUUUGACAAGUUCCAGAGUAGAACUUGAUCUUACAUUGACUAGAACUUUUCCUACUCAUGAGUUUGGUUUUUUUUUAAGUGUUGGUAUAAGUUCUAGUUUUCUUUUCAUAGGUACCAUGUCUUACUACUAAAAGUCCCGACACAUAUGCCAGAUUGUGGGGCUCAGGGUAACCAGUAGCCACCACAGUCCCCUUUUGAAGGUGUGUGCAUGUGACUUCUGACUUUACAAAGAGAAAGGUAUUUCGAUUUUUUUUUCCUUUGUCUUGGAAUGGGUUUUACUUUUGAAACAGUAUUCACCCUAGUGGUUAGAUUCUGGCAGCCCAUGAAAGCCUAGACUGUGUUCGAGCUUAUGUUGUAAUUUAGAUGUCCAGAGGGUUAAUUUUAUAGGCACAUCUGGGCAUACAACUAGAAUUAGUAAUUUCAUUCCUGGUGAAAACUGUACAUUUGAGGAGAUGUGGGGGCCCCAAAGUCUUGGAUGUAUUUGUUUUCUUUUUUGACUCUGUAGAUGUUCAACAAAGGUAGUUGGUAGCUUACCUAACCACAUACGCUUGUUCUUCUUCAUGGCGAAAAACAAAGUGACUUAGGAUUUUUUUUUCUCUUUGAAGAAACUAGCACAGGCCAAUCACUGUGUAUUUUUGCUGUCUUUAAAAGGUGCAUUUUGUUUAGCAGGGCUGCAUAAAGGGUACACUCAACUAACAAUACAUUUUAUAAGAAACUUUUAACAGUUGUUAAUUUGGGACAUGAGACCGUUGCGCACUACAGGGGAGGGCAGCCUAUGUCCCCUGGAACAAAUUUGGUUUGCUGCCUGUUUUCCAAAGUAAAGUUUGAUUGGAACACCACCACAUUCAUUCGUUUUUGCAUAUCAUCUUUAGCUGUUUUUUGAUGCACCGGCAGAUUUGAGUAGCUAGGACAGUGACUGUAUGUCACUGCAACACCUAAAAUACUUCCGAUCUGGCCCUUUGCAAGAAAAGUUUUCUGACUACGGGCCUAGGUCAUGGGGAGGAAUUGUUUAUCCAUUCCUUGUAUAUUUGUCUGUGCUUUUUUGAUUUUUUCCCCAUGUGUAUGUAUUCCUUUUGUAAUAAAACUAUUAAAACAUCUUAAAUGAUUGUGCUAUUGUUAAGAUGUAGCCUCUGCCCCCGAGGUUACGUAAUUACAUAGUAGAGGAAGUAGACAACUAUGCAGACACAAAAAAUGCAAUUUAUAGAGUGAUAAGUGCAUAAUAAGUAUAAUGAAGAUUGUGCAAAGUCCUGGGAGAACAAAAAUGGGUGAGAAGUCAACUAUCGUCUGUGGGAGAGGGAAGGAGUGAUGGUAUAAGGAAUUGAUAUUUGAGUUAGCCUUUAAACAAGAUUAGGGAUUUGCCAAGCUGGGGACUGUUGGGUGAGGAAAGGAUAUCUAGAGCCAUUUUUCCCUCCCUUUUAUGAGACCUAAGUCCACCUUGUGGUUCUUAGUGCAUUUAACAGGAUGUGAUGAGUCAUUCUUCCUUUUUAGUCUCCUCUAUGUCCAUGCCAUUUGGGACUCAGUCUUUAAAUGCCAUGUUUGAUUUCCUUUUUCCUUUUGAGCAUCACGUCUCUGACUAGACCAAAGAAUCUGACUUCCCAAACAGACUUGCCUUAAAUCUUAAACAUUUGCUCUCUCAUCAAUUCACGGUAGAAUUUCACUAGCAUGUUGUGAGGGAGUUGUGAUAUUUGUUAUGUUGCUCCUUUUAUACAAGAUGGGAAUGGAUGAUUUGUCAUUUUCUUGGCAUGUGUCCUGAACAAUACACUGUUGGGAUCCAUUAUGACAAGUCCGUUAUCAUUUUCUCUUAGUGCACUAUUGUUACCCUGGGAAAUAUGAUGGUAUUCAAAACAGGGAAUGACAUCAUUAUUAUCUACAGCCAACCUGUUAAAUACAUAUAAGUACCUAACUUAGGUACUCUUAUCUCUUGAUUUUUAACCUUACCAGCUUUCCCAGAGCUGCUCCCAAAGAAGAAAGUUAACUCUUACCAGACUUUGUAAAAAUUAUUUUUUUCUCCAACAACUCCUAGCCAUCUCUUCUUUCCACCAAAGAAUUUUUUUAAGUAUACAUUGAAAAGUGUCCAUAUUGUUACUGUGCUGCUUGUAGGAUUUUCAUAAAUGAACACACCUGUGUAGCCAACAUUCUAGUCAAGAAAAGAACAUUAGCAGCUCCCCAUAGGCUUGACUCGUAGCCGCCCCACCGUAGUCAUUUCCUUCCCUUAGGAUAACUGUUUUGACUUUAAAUAGCAUAAGUUAAUUUUACUUGCUUUAAACCUCAUAUAAAGUUCGUAUAAAUGGAAUCUAAUUCUACGUCCUUUUUUUAUACCCAUCUUUUUUCAAUAUUAUGUUUUUGAGUUUCUUUCAUAUUGUAUUUGUCUGUGAAUUAUUUGAAGUUAUAUAAUUUGAGAUUAGUAUGAGUUAUCCUUCCAUAAAUCUUCUCUUCUUUGUCAUUUGGUCAACAUGAGGACCUAUCUCCAAUGCUGAGGGCAGUUGUGCCCAGCUUUAGUAGAUACUACUAAAUAUUUUUACAAAGUAAUUCUACCAAUUUAUACUCUCUUCAGCAGUAAAUAAGAGUUUUGGUUACUACACAUAUACCAACACUUGAUAUUUUCCAUUUUUUCAUUUUAUCUAUCUUUUGAUUAUGGAAUAUGAUUACAUACUGAUUUUAGUGUUUCCAUGAUUACUACUAAAGUUUGUUGUUCAUUUGGAUGUCCAUAUCUCUUUUUUGCAAAUUGUUUAUUCAAAUCUUUUGUAUUUUAUUCUGUUUCCUGUCUUUUUCUUACUGAUUUUUGGAAGUUUUUGUUUUUUGUUAUAUUUGUUGGUUGUAUAUCAAAUCUGGCUGAGUCAUUUGUCAUACAUACAUAUAUUUUCCUAUAUGUGAUUUGACUUUUCAUGAUCCUAGGGGUGCCUUUUAAUGUAUAGAGCCUCUUGACUGUAAUUUAUUCCUGUGUAGUUACUGCUGCUCAGAACUCUUGAGGGACUGGUUUAAGAAAACCAGACUACAUCAAAGUCAUCAAAAAUGUUUUCCUAUAUUUUCUUAUAAACUAUUUAAUACUUUAUCUUCCACAUUUCGAUGUAUAAUGCAUCUUGAAUAGAUUUUUGUGUGUGGUAUAACAUAAAAGUAAAGAUACAUAUACCCAUGACUUUUCUCUGUGGCCAUGCAGUUGACAUAGGAUUACUCAUUGGUAAGAUCAGUUUCCCUUUUUCUUUAUUGAGUGACCUUUGCCAUAAAUGUGUUGACUUAUAUUUAUCAGUGUCUUUCUGGUGUCUCCAUUCUGAUCCAUUAGUUGGUUUUUCGUUAUGUUAAUGUCAUAUUAUUUUAAUUAUAUGGCUUCAUCAUAGGUCUUUGCAUUGGCCAUCUUCACAUGUUUAGCAAUCUUCUAUUAUAGGCUAAACAACAUAGAAAAUAACUCAGAGAAUACAAAUGAUUGUUUCCAAAAAAGAAGUUUCCCUUUUCUUCUGUUAGGAUCGUAGGAUGGGGAGCAGACCACGUUAGUCUUAUCAGGGACUGAUCUGGGUUUUGUCUGGGUUUUAGCGUUGGUAAGAUUUAGUCUGUCUUGGCUAGCCCCUGCUGCCAUGGUGUGAUUCUCCAUGGCUUUCUACUGAAAUCCUGGUGUCUCUGGUUUCUUCACCCCCAGAAAACAGUUAAAAAUUAAAUUUUAUUUUUUUUUCACAGAUGUUCAUCUUAGCUUUGAUCUUUUUUAAAAAUUUUUUUUACAUUUAUUUAUUUUUGAGAGACAGAGUGUGAGUGGGGGAGGGGCAGAGAGAGAGGGAGACACAGAAUCUGAAGCAGGCUCCAGGUUCUGAGCUGUCAGCACAGAGCCCAGUGCAGGGCUCAAACCCACAAACUCUGAGAUCAUGACCUGAGCCGAAGUCAGACGCCCAACCCAUUGAGCCAUCCAGGAGCCCCAUAACUUUGAUCUUCUACUCCAAGCAAUACUCUUCUCUUGUCUUCUUUCCUUUCCCUUCCUUCCUUCCUUCCUUCCUUCCUUCCUUCCUUCCUUCCUUCCUUCCUUCCCUCCUUUUCUUCCUUUUUUUCUUUCCUUUUUUGGUGGAAAAUGGUUAUGGUUUGGUGUCCACCAAACCCCCAACCUUGUCACUCCAGCAGCGUAAAAAAGCAGAAAUGGCUGCUAGUCUAUCUGCCAACUAUGGAAUUGUAGCUUUCUGCCAACGGUCCAGACUGGUCCUCAGACUCUAGCUUUUACCAAUAUUGGAAUGUGCUCCCAGGUGAAAUAUGAUUUAGAUUCUCGGUAUCAAUUCACCAUGCUUCCUAAGGCCUUCAUGAGUUCCCUGCACUGGGCCUCUGCCUCCUCCUCCUGGUGAGUUGCUUUUUUCCUUUCUUUCCUUUCCUUUUCUUUCUUUUUUUUUUUUUUUCUAUUUUAGUGUUGUUUUAUUUUUGAGAGAGAGAGAGAAAGAGCAUGAGCAGGAAAGGAACAGAGAGAGAGGGAGCCACAGAAUCCAGGCUCUGAGCUCUCAGCACAGAGCCCGACAUGGGGCUCUAACUCACUGACCACGAGAUCAUGACAUGAGUCUAAGUCAGAGGCUUAACCGACUGAGCCAUCCAGGCACCUGUGGUGGAUCAUUUUCUAACUACAGCAAGACUGCAGGUUUGCCUCUUUGUGUUCCUGUGCAUCCUCAGAAUUCAGCAAAAGUCUUGUGGAGCAAACUGGACAUACAAAUCUCUUAGGAUAGAGGCAAGGUGAAUAGUCGGAAGGCUAAUUUAGGUAGGAAGUUAUGGUGGCCAGAAUUAGCAAGUUACUUAUAAAGAUGGAUGGAUGUAGGAUAAAGUGGAAAAAUUUGAUACAGAUUUUAGGAUUUAUAUCCAGUAACCACGGGGGAUCUAGGAAGGAAGGUGGGAAAAGGAAGAGUCAAGGCAGGUAAUGCACAUAUUUCCAUGUAUGGCAAUUGUGUGGCCAAUGGCAAUAUGUGUUGUGAUAGGGGACGAAUUAGGGGUGCUGGAUUUGGGGUUGCCUGUAAGGUGGUAGAAAGGCUGCUCUAGCCUGCUGUACUCUGCCUGUAUUUGUACCUUGCAAGGCAGGUGAAGCCCCAAUACCACUGAGGGCAACUGUGUGUGUGUGUGUGUGUGUGUGUGUGUGUGUAUGUGUGUGUAUGUGUGUUUACAUAUGUUCAUGUGCAUUCAUGACUUCAGCUUGUUUAACUUGUUUACAAAAGUGCAGUCUCCUCUGGCUUCUGUCCUCACUGCAAUAUUUUGAAUCAGUGGUGACCAUACAGAGGCUUUUGAUAUGGGGGAUUUUCUGUUGCUUGAUUGAGUCUUGUGUGCUGAAUAAACAUGUGGUUUACCUAUAAAGUCCAUCUUGGACAUCAAAUACAAAUCACAAGUGUUUUCCUACAAGUGCUUUCUGGAAAAAAUUAAGGUGUAGAUCAGAGACUCAACCAGUAUUGUCAUGAGCAAAGCAAUCCCCAAAUUUAGUGACCCCACAGUGGUUCAUUUUAAACUCAUCGACUCUUCAUGGUGGCACAGAGAUGAGCUGCCACUCUUGAUUCCUUGUAUCAUCUGACCAUCUCUCUGAAGCUUCCUGAAUGAGGUAUACAUGAUUAGUUCAAAUGAUCAAGGAAAAUAUGUGAAUCAGGCUGCGGUAAUCCUUAAAUAAGUUCUGUCAAGAGAAUUGGCGAAUAACCUGAGCUCUGGCUACAACUGCUCAGCCAGUUAUAUACUGAGCCUACUACUAAUGGAAUCAUUUGUGCUUUUCCACCCUUUCUUGAAAUAUCCUAACGUCUCAAUUCUCAUAAAAGUCUGUAAGAUGCGCAUGCUAAUUCUACAGCCAAGAGAACUUUUUAUGUUAGAAAUUUAAUAAAGAAACCCUUCAAAAUCUUUUGCCCCACCCCCAUAGACUAUUAGUCCCUUAAAUUAACAAGUGUCCUGGAAUCUUACAAGUGAGAGGUUCAUUUAUUCAAUCUGCAAUGAAUUAGUAAGUGAAUGAGAAAUGAAGGCUGCCCCUUCAUUGCUGAUUUUCUUCUCUCAUCUUGCUUUCUCAAAGUUCUCCUUUAUUUAAGCAUCUCAGGAGAGAACUGAAGAUGAGGAUUGGGUCUCGAUGUGGGAGACUAAGAGGGUGCAAAGUGGUGUAUAAGGAACAUAGAGAAUGUGUGCCUGAUCGUCAGUGAUUUGGCUGGUGCCUCACCGUAAUGACCUUUAAUGCUCCAUUCCCACUGGAGGUUAUAAAUGUGACUGGUGGAAAAACCUAAUAAAUGAGCUAAACUGUCUUUGUAAAAGCAUGCCUUUUGAUUGAAUUGAGGAGCUUCCGUUAAUAGUAAUAGUCAACAAAAAGUAUCAGGGCUAUUUAGGUAAAGCAGGGACUUUCUCUCACUGAUGAACUUUUAACAGAAUCCCACAAGGUCUUAUUUUCUAUCUCAGGCUGUAUGGCGAGGUCACCCCAAGGCUCGGCAUCUCUGAAUAUCCAGGUGUCUGCCAGUGAAUCUCUUGCCAUUCUAGCAUGAGUAGGUGGCUUCCGGUCAAGUCCAAUUCUUCUGAAAACAGACUGCUGUUUUACACUGUCUUGACAUCACAGAAUCGCUUGUGCUGCUGACUGACUUCAGAACUUUACUAAAAUUAUCCCUGUGACAUUGGUAAUUCCUUAAGUGCCAAGGACUGGCUGAGUUCAUUCCUACCAUAGUAACAGCUACUUGUGUGAUCCAUAUCUUUCUUUCUUUUUUCCUUCCUUCCUUCCUUCCUUCCUUCCUUCCUUCCUUCCUUCCUUCCUUCCUUCCUAUUAUCUAUCUAAUCUAUCUAUCUAUCUAUCUAUCUAUCUAUCUCCAGAGGCUCAUUUUGAUUAAAAAAAUGAAUCUUUCUAUUCCUUUUGAAAAGGCUUGCCUCCACCAAUUUUACUUAGUCUCUGGAUUUUGGGUUCCUCAGUGUCUAUGAGAAGGCAACAUGGAAACCAUACCUUAGAGAAACCAACUUGCUUCCUUGAGAAGAAGGACAUUGUUUUCAUGAAAAGUGAUGGCAAGCAUCAGUAAAAUUAUAUGAGGGAGAGUAAAGCAUCUCAUUAUUGUAGAGUCAGGCUUAGCCCAUUUAUGAGCUCCAUUUAAUUAAUUUUUAAAGGCUAGGACAUUUCAAAAAAAUUUAUCAGCCUCUGUUAAGGUCAAAGUGUUAAGACUCAACGUUUAAAUGCUUUAGAAAUUGUGUUGUUUCAAGAACUCUUCUUUUCCAUUGCAAGAGGUAAAUUGAAAUGUGAAGUGGAGGGACCUGGGCUGAUUCAGGAGAGCUGAUUCAUCUUUCUCUACUGUUAACUGGCUCUGUGACCUCAAAUAUGGUGCUUCCUUUGCAUGAGUAAGGACAUAAACAUACCGUUUCCCAAGUUGAUUGAGAGCGAUCCAUAAUUUAGGACAAUGGCUGAUGCAGUGAGGGCCUGACUCACUGUAGAUGUCCAGUAAAUGUUUGGUUCAUCAUCUACAUCAAUUUUUCCUAAGCCAUUUUGUUCAAGAAUCUUCACGAAAUGCUAAUGGUUGUGAUUUGUGAGCACUGGUCCAGGAUAUUCUUUUUAGGCCAGGGGACAAUUGUCCGACCUCAUCCUAGAAUAUAAGAAUUUUAAGCUCAAUUUCAUUCAUGUGUAACUUUGGGCAAGUUACAUAACCUUUCUUGAGCAUUUAAUUCCCUCAUCUGGGCUAUUAGCACAAUACUGCAGUCCAGUGAAACUUGGGCUCUGAGUGAGACUGCUCGAGUUUGAAUCUCCGCUCUACUAUUUAAUCAAUAGUACAUUUAGUCUAAAACCUGGGACUGGCUGAGGAACCUUCUUUGUGUCUGUUUCCUCAUCUGUAAAAUAAGCAUAAUGAUAAUAAAAGCCAUCUCAUAUGAUCUUCAAGAGGCUGAUGUGAACCAACAUGUGGAAAAUGUUCUAGAGAGUACCUGUCACAUGCUACAUGCUCAAUAAAUGUUAAUCGAAUGAUUUUUAUUUCUUCUUAGACUUCACUUGAAUGAAAUCACCAAUCAUGGAAAAUCAGAAUUCUCAGUACACUAUUUUUUUUAAUGUUUAUUUAUUUCUUUUGAGAGAGAGAUACAAAGAGAGUGAGCAGGGCAGGGGCAGAAAGACAAGGAGGGAGAGAAUCCCAAGCAGGCUCAGUGCAGAGUCUGAUAAGGGGCUCGAUCUCCGCAACCGUGACAUCGUGACCUGAGCUGAAACCAAGAGUCAGACUCUUAACAGACUGAGCCACCCAGGCUGAGUCCACAGCUAAUACAGUGUUAAAGCCAUGGAAGUUCUCUGAAGAAAAAGAAAUCUAUCUAGUGCUCCCGGAUUUAUUUUAUCUGAUUUUGUUUUCCUCUCUCUCCACCACCUGUGCCCUGAUUCCUCUUCUUGGCAGAGCAGCAGCAAAAAAAACAAUAACAACUACAGUCUGGGGCCAAACUGCCAGAAACCCAAGAAUGGAGACAACCGCCCCUCCUCUCUAGUCUUCUCCUCUGCUCCUGGGCUUGUUUUUUUGUUUUUUUGUUUUUUUUUUAUUUGUUGUUGUUGUUGUUGUUUUUGGUCAGGAAUGCUUCAUAAAUUUUCUAAGGAGCCUCAUAGCUGUGAGCAGAAUUUUUUUUCUGGAAACAGAGGCAGUAGGUUCCUACUUCCCUUAUGGCAGGCUCAUGUUCUCACUCGGGGCAUCAAGCUUUUCUUCAUCCAACUGGAAACACGUGGUCUGCCCCUUCCUGUUUCAGCAGCUCCCACCCCCAACCUCAGACCAAGUGAAGACAAGUAGGGCUGCCUCCUGGAGGAGUCUCCCUGAGCCCUCUGGGGGAGUUCAGAGUGCCUCUCAGAAAACAGAACUUCGGAUUGGACUGUGGCUUCAGCCGCGACUCUUUUUUCCUGGCAAACUGUGUGUCAGAUGACACAAGAGAAAGCUCCCUGUGGAGUGUAAUCCAGUCACAGACGCCAAAGGUUGAGGGGAAGUCGCCAUUUUUCCUUCCUGUUUACCCCUCAAGGGUCUGUCUCCCUGGAUCUUUGAGUUAUUGGCAUCCUGGCUGUGUACAUCGGCCUUGGUAUUUGAGUGCACGUGCCGGUGCUCCCAGCACUGACGGUGUGUGGUUCUGCCACUCCAGCUGUGUGACUUUGGGCCUUCAGUAAAUGUCUCUGAGCUUCAGAUUGCUCAUCCGGAUGAUGGGAGUAGUCAUGCCUGUCCUGUUUGCUUGAUCAAAUAAAAUCUCAACUUUGUGAAUCUGAAAGCACAGGGUCCCAGAGCUUACAUGCUACCCAACGCCGCAUUUGUCUGCUGCAGGCAGCCACCAGCUUACUGGCAUCCUGGGCAAAUGAUCCUGCAGCGUCAGCCUGAGCUCUGGCUGGGGAGCUGCCCUCCUCAGAAGCUUUGAUAGAAAGUUCUUCCGUAGACUGGGCCGGGCCCAAAUAUGAACCCUGCAGUAACUUUUACCUGCUGGUCUCUGUCUCCGUCUCUUCUCUGGACUCAACAAUACAUUUUAUCCCAAAGGUAUUCUCUAUAUUGAAAACUACUGUAAAAAAUGCCACCACAAUUUUUUUUAACUGGUUAUUAAGUCAUCUUUUUAGCUUCUUUGCCUGCCCUGCCUUUGGGGUUCUGAUCUGGAUCGACCGCAUGGUGCGGGGUGUUCCUGAACUUUCUUAGGGGUCCUUGUGUCAUUGGUUAUAAAACUUUUCUUGAAGUUCCCUGGGAGCAGUGUUAUUAAUAGUUACUAAUGACUUCACUCAUAUGAGGAAUUUAAGAUACAAAACAUGAACAUAAAGGAAGGGGAGCAAAUAUAAUAUAAAAACAGGGAACAAAAACAUAAGAGACUCUUAAAUAUAGAGAACAAACAGAGGGUUCCUGGAGGGGUUGUGGGAGGGGGGAUAGGCUAAAUGGGUAAGGGGCAUUAAGGAAUCUGUUGAAAUCAUUGUUGCACUAUAUGCUAACUUGGAUGUAAAUUUUAAAAUAAUUUUUAAAAUGCCAUAGACAUGUUUAAAAAAAUAGGUGAAAGGAGCUGAAGCAAAUAUAUACAUCUUUAUGUAUACAUACAUAUGUAAGAAAUGUAUACAUGUAUGUGUUCAUAUAUAUAUAUGAAAUAAUGUACGUAUUAGGAAAACUGGUCACUUACAUAGCAUCAUCAACUUAGGAGUUCUUGUUACCUAAUAUAGGCUGUAAUUCUGAAUAUCAUAAAUGCUGACUCCUAAAAGUUACAUUUAUGACUGGGAUUAUAAGGUAUAAUCAGACAUUCUAUUCAGUAUUAUAGCUGUGCAAAAGUACUAUGUUUUCCUUUAGAAAUAAAAAAUUAUAGGGAAAAAAAAGAGCCCAAGAGAAGAAAAGAUCUAAGGAAUAAAAUAGAAGUCAUUUGUAACCCAUCUCUUUGUAGAAAAGUAAAAUUAUAUUUUUAUACCUAUACCUUUAUCAUGUGUCUACAUAUAUGAUUAUGUGUUUAUGUGUAACUGUUGAAAUUAUGCAACACGUGAUUCUGUAGUCCUACAUUUUGCUCUCUUACCGAAUAUUAUAUUGUCUUUUCCUGUGCCAUUACCAAUUAUUUAUAAGUAUUAUCAUUAUAAGGAUUGCAUCAUAAUUUUGAAUGAAUACACUAAAAUUUAUUUAAUAAAUUACCCCUUAUUGUAAUCCUUAAUUUGCAGCCAGUGUUUAGGAGUUUCUCUUUGAGAAAUGGAAAUUGGGAAAAGGCAACACUUGUAGAUUCCUGCUGGAGGAUUUUCUUUCCCAAGUGUUGGGGUAAUCUCUUCACCCCAUUCUUCAUUUCCUAAUUGGGCAGAGUUAACAAGACAUAGAUCUAGUCCUGUUAGAGCUGGAAAGCUGAAAAACAUGGGUUGAUUUGUGUGUGACUGCAGUUCACAUAUUCAAAUUUAAAAUGCUAUGCUGGUGAUGUAUCUGAUUAACAAGAGGUUUGGGUUUGUUUCAUUUACUUAUACACAUUGGAUCCAGCAAGGGCUUGAGUGACCCCUUUCCUCAAUAGGAAGACUUUCCCUUGAUCUAGGAAAUCAAGGAAAUUCAAGUAUCAAGAAAUUGCUGUCCUUCAGUGUCAGAAAGAAAACUUUCAAUGCACUUGAAUCCCCAGGUGGAAAUCAAGGAAUCCAAGAUAUGUUUUCCAAUGACAAAAUCUGAGGCUCCCUUGCUUGUUAGAGCAUAGCCCUGGCAGCACAAAGGAUUCACUCCCAUAUAAUCAGAUCGGUCUUCUCGGGAAAUCGAAAAGGGGGCAAUACCCCACUUCUCUGCAGACUUAUAGACCAAUCACCAAGAUAGGGGACUAGAAAUCUGUUUUUUAAAAGUCUCCAGUGAAUUUUGUCAGGUAAAUUUAAGAAAUGGAUCUUAUACAAUAAAAUCACAAAAUUACACAAAAAAAUCAUACACAAUAAAAGAUUUCUAGGCCAUCAACUUAGCCUGAAAGACAAUCGCUUUACCCUGCCCCACACCUAUAUUUCCAAGGAGUAUUAGUGUCUUAGAUACUGGGCUUUGCUUAAAGAGUUGUUUCGUCUUUGGUAACUAUCAAAAUCACAUGACUGGAAAGGCGUAGCUUCAUAAACCUGUAGCAAGACUGAUGGAAGGGGUUUUCUCCAAUAUAGAAGUGAUCAUUUUUGAAGGAAAUCACCCACAUCUCCCCAAAGGCACUGCCACUCAUAGAGAACCAGCUGCUGCCUCCAUCAUGGGCCAAUACUACCCUUGUGGAAUGGAUAAAAACUAUGUGUUAUCACCUAUGGGGCCUGGCUGAUUUGAGGCAAUAGCAUAUGGUGAACUGUUAAAACCAGGCAGAAACUUGUAGUUGCUUAGUCUCAGUAGAAUUCUCAAAAGCCACUAAAAAUGGCUAAGCCCAGACACAGCCUUACUCCAUAUGUGUUUUAUCUCCAGCCCAGAGGAACAGCCUUCUUGGGCCUGGUGUGCUGGGACGCUUCCAACAUUGUCCAGACUUUUCUGAGGACACAGGUUUCCGUUUGUGCAGAUGAGAAACUGCUAAUGGUGUAUCUCUUGUGCCUAUUAGGAAAGAUGAAAAGUCACCUCCCACAACGACCUGGUCCCAGUAGUGAGGAUGCCUGUAUCUGGGGACAGGUGUCCUCAUAGUGGUAGGCUGUGGUAGAGAGGAAUAAAAGUUCUAGGUUCUUACCUUUUCCUAUGGUAUGAUUUCAACAACCAGAGAGGCCAGAUCCUUUAACCCUCUAACUUUGGUCCUAAUGCAGACAAAAAUAAUAGAUAAGGAUUAUCUUAUAAAAACAAGGAAGAGAGAAAGUUUGAGAAGUAGGAGUGGGAGAGAGAUAGGGAAAGCCGCCUCUCUUCUCCACAUUUAAAGACAUUCAGAAGUGUGGGCUGCUUGAAAAUAAGAAUAGCUUCUCUUUUCUUUGUUGUGCUGCCUGUAAGAGGAAUGGAUGUUUUCUGUCCCCUCAGUAUUGUGGGGUUGUUAGAUUUUGUGGGUGGCAGGUAGAGGUACUUGGCGUCCAGCAGAACAGGAGACACAGCAAAGUGGGCCCCCCCUCCUUUGAAGUGUUGUCCCUUGCAAGAAAUGCAGGUGGGCCUCGGGGCUCUUUGCUCACUGCCUGUGUUUCCUGGAACAUUCGGGAAAUAAGAGGCAGGUUUCAUGAGCAUGUGCCCAGUUUUACCAAGGGAGAGGGACACAGCCAGUGUAGGUAGAGCUGACACCCAGCAGAAAAACUGGGCCCCAAACAGGAGAACAGGAACCAGAGGGACAAAAAUUCCAGGGGUAUCCCACCCUGCCCCAACUAAGAGAAAACUCAGGUGUUGCCUUAAACACCUGUAUUUGAUUGUAAUCCUUGUUUGCUUUUCUUAGCAUUCCACUUUUUUUCUGACUACAAAAGCAACACAUACUUGAUAAUAAUAAGUAUCUAGCAAUAUAAAUUAUAAUAUCGAAUGUGACAAUCACCCAUUAUUAAAUUACCACUUAUAGAUACCCACCAUUAACUAGUUUUUUUUUUCUUUUGAUGUUUUCAGGAGCUUACAAAAUGAUUGUGUAUGUAUUUAUAAAAAUAAUGUUUCAACAGAGACACCCACCCAGAAAAAUCAGUUCAUACAUUGAAUAUUAAGCAACUUGCUUACUUUUACCCUGACAAUAGAUUUCAUUUUUUUUUAUUUAGACCUAUGUUGCAAAUCUACCUCACUCUUUUUUUUUCUUAAGUAAUAGAUUUUAUUUUUAGGGCAGUUUUAGAGCCACAAAAAAAAUUGAGCAGAAUGAGAGUACCCACAUAACCUCUCCUCGUCACAAUGCAGACUCCUUCACAUUUGAUAUCCCACAACAUGGUGUGCAUUUGCUACAGUCCAUGAACCAAUGUUAGCACAUGAUUAUCAAUCAUAGUUCACAUUAGGAAUUAUUCAAAACGUUGUACACUUUAUGGCUUUUGAUAAAUGGGUAGUGACAUGUGCUUACUAUUAUAGCAUUAUACAGAGUAGUUUCUCUCCUAAAGAUUCUCCAUGCUCCACCUAUACAUUCCUUCUCCCCCUGAACUCCUGGCAACCACUGAUCAUUUUAUUGUCUGCAUAGUUAGGUCCUUUCCAGAAUGUCAUAGAGUUGAAAUCCUAUAGGAUUAGCCUUUUCAGAUUGACAUCUUUCAUGAGGCCAUAUACAUUUAAGGAUGCUCCGUGCCUUAAUAUAGCUUGGUAGCUCAUUUCCGUUUCGAGCCAAUAUUCUAUUGUGUAAAUGCACCACAGCUUAUUCACCUUUUGAAGGACAUCUCUGUUGAUGCAAGUUUUGAUAAUUCUGAGUAGGUGGCUAUAAACAUUUGUGUACUGGUUUUUGAGUAGACCUAAGUUUUCAACUCACUUGGGUUGAUACCAAGGAAUGUUAUAGCUGAAUUGUAUGAUAACAAUAUGUUUAGUUUUGUGAAAAGCACCCUGUCUUACAGUCUUUCAAAGUGGAUUAUGCCUUUCAUGGAUCAUUCCUUUGCUGCUAUAUUUAAAAGGUCAUUGCAAAAUGUAAUCAUUAAGAUUUUCUUUUGUUAAUCUCUAGGAAUUUUAUAGUUUUGUAUUUUAAAUCUGUGUGUCUGAUCUAUUUUGAGUUAAUGUUUGUUAAUUAAUUAAUUUGCAUGUGGUUGUCCAGUUGUCCCAGUGUCACUUUUGAGAAGACAACCCUUCCUCCACAGAAUUGCCUUUUGCUUCUUUGUCAAAGGUCAUUUGACUAUAUUUCUGUGGGUCUAUUUCUGGGCUCUGUGUUCUUUGCCAGUAUGGUACUGGAACAAAAACAGACACAUAGACCAGGGGAAUAGAAUAGAGAACCUAGAAUUGGACCCACAAAUAUAUGGCCAACUAAUCUUUGACAAAGCAGGAGAAAGUAUCCAAUGGAAAAGAGACAGUCUCUUUAGCAAAUGGUGCUGGGAGAACUAGACACCCACAUGUAGAAGAAUGAAACUGGACCACUUUCUUACACCAUACACAAAAAUAAACUCAAAAUGGGUGAAAGACCUAAAUGUGAGACACGAAACUAUUAAAACCAUAGAGAAGAAAAUAGGCAACAACCUCGACCUCAGCUGCAGCAGUAUCUUGCUUGACAUGUCUCCAAAGGCAAGGGAAAUAAAAGCAAAAAUGAACUAUUGGGACCUCAUCAAGAUAAAAAACUUCUUCACAGCAAAGGAAACAAUGAACAAAACUAAAAAGCAACCAACAGAAUGGGAGAAGAUAUUUGUAAAUUACAUAUUGGAUAAAGGGUUAGUAUCCAAAAUCUAUAAACAACUUACCAAACUCAACACCUGAAAAACAAAUAAUCCAAUGAAGAAAUGGGCAGAAGGCAUGAAUAGACACUUUUCCAAAGAAGACAUUUAGAUGGCCAACAGACACAUGAAAAGAUGCUCAACAUUGCUCAUCAUCAGAAAAAUACAAAUUGAAACGACAUUGAGAUACCACCUCACACUGGUCAGAGUGGCUAAAAUUAACAACUCAGGAAACAACAGAUGUUGGUGAGGAUGUGGAGAAAUGGAAACCCUCUUGCACUGUUGGUGGGAACGCAAACUGGUGCAGCCACUCUGGAAAACAGUGUGGAGGUUCCUAAAAAAAUUAAGAGUAGAAUUACUUUACAACCCAGCAAUAGCACUGCUAGGAAUUUACCCAAGGGAUACAGGAAUGCUGAUGCAUGGGGGCACUUAUACCCCAAUGUUUAUAGCAGCACUUUUAACAAUAGCCAAAUUAUGGAAAGAGCCUAAAUGUCCAUCAACUGACGAAUGGAUAAGGAAGAUGUGGUUUAUAUAUACAAUGGAAUACUAUUUGGCAAUGAGAAAGAAUGAAAUCCUGCCAUUUUCAGCAACAUGGAUGGAACUGGAGGGUAUUGUGCUAAGUGAAAUAAGUCGUUCAAAGAAAGAUAUUAUAUGUUCUUACUCAUAUGUGGAAUUUGAGAAACUUAACAGAAGACCAUUGGGGGAAGGAAGGAAAAAAAUAGUUACAAACUGAGAGGGAGUCAAACCAUAAGGAACUCUUAAAUACAGAGAACAAACAGGGUUAAUGGGAGAGGGCGUGGGGUGGGGAAAUAAGUGAUGGGCUUUGAGGAGGGCACUUGUUGGGAUGAGCACUGAGUGUUGUAUGUAAGUGAUGAAUCAUGGGAAUCUAUUCCCGAAGCCAAGAGCCUCUAUAUACUCAGUAUGUUAGCUAACUUGACAAUAAAUUAUAUUUAAAAAGGUAGUUAAAAAAAUAUAACAUUGGUCUGCAUUGCCAAAAAUUAAAAUAUGUGUGUGUGUGUGUGUGUGUGCAUGUGUGUGUGUGUAUGUAUGUAAUCUGAAAACUCCUUUUUUAGGAUUUAGUUGUCUCUACUGUAUCCUGAAGUCUCUUCUAUCUCACCUGCUCAGGAAAUGUAAGCCCUGAAUUGUAGCUGAUUUGAAGUUUAAACAGACUAUACCUCAAGUGUAAUGGCAACUCCAGUGUUCGUUUACCAGGCCAUUAAGCCUGUCAUUUCCCAAGGUAGCCUACAGAGCAAAGUUUUAUUUAAUUGUUCAAGCAUAAGAAAUAAAAUAUAAUAGGUGCCCUCCUGGUCUGAAGCAUUUUUCCCGGACCUUGCCGUCAGUUAACAUUUAAGUUAUAGAGAAAUAAAUUUGGUGAGAUGGCCCCAUGAAGACUGAAGACCACAAUCAAAUGGUAAUACACAUAUCUCAAAAGGAUGAUUUCAGAAUAAACAUGUGGCAUGAAAGAAUUAUUUUUCCUCACGUUUAACUACAUAUUUUUUAAAUAUUUGGAGAAAAUGGUCAUUAAGCUAAAAUUACAAAAUAAAAUCCAGAUGAACAGGCCCUAUUUCUUUGACUCACCUUUUUAGCUAUUAAAGUUUCAUCUGUAAGACCAGUAAUCAGUAUAAGUCUAGCACUAUCAUUACUAGUUUCCAACAAUUAUCAGUCAUUCUCAUCAAUUGAUACAGAGAAAGAAAUUUUGUCAGUCAGGUUUAUAAGGAAUUGCAACUGUGAUCACCAAUCUUGAGCAAGAUUUUGACCUUGGUCUCCUUCAAUAAUUGGUGAUUUUCUAGUUCCUUACAAGAGAUGUAAUGGAAUCCCCACAGGGGUCCUGUAUGAGGGACUAAUACUUUGGCUUUGUGGAGGACAGAUAAGUUUAAAAGGAAGAUGUGUUUCUCUAUUUUCAAGUACUAUAGUUUUUAAUUGCAAUGUUAGUUAAAGGGAUAGAUGUUAAAAAUUAAAUAGUGUGCAAAGUCUAUAAAGCCACAGAUACCAAGUAGAUAAGUCUUAGGAGUUAGGUUGGCAGAUCUGGAGGUGGUGGACUGAACAGUGAUCACCAACCCUAAGGGGGCAGCAGAUGACCAUCUCCAGCUAAGUGUUACAGUAUUCCAAAGAGAACUCAGAAGAGAUGAAAAUCAUCAAGUUUGUUUCUGCACUUAAGCAAAUAAAUGGCUUGCUUUGGCCAAUAAAAUGUGAGAAGGUAUUAUUCAUGCAGAAGCUUGAAAAACUGCUUGCAUGGGUCCAUCUCCUCAUUUGGAAUCCUGCUACCAGGAGUACAAGCCUAGGCUAAUCUGCCUGAAAGUGAAAGACCCAAAGAGUAAGGAAAUGUAUCCCAGAUUACCAGCCUGGAGCCAGCUACCUCUCAAAUAUGAGGAAGUUCAACCACAAUCAGUAGAAACACUUAAGGAGCUGUAGCUGACCAGAGACAACACACACACAGUGAGUCUAGCUGGGCCUGGCAUAGACCAGUAGAAUUGUUCAAUCACCCCACAGACUCAUGAGAAAUAAAUGUUAACUAUUGUUUAACAAUGAGGUUUUAUAGUUGUUGGUUAGACAGCAUUAAUGUGGCACUAGAUAACUAUCAGUCCAUGGAAACUGGUCAGUAAAUAUUGUAUAUAUAUAUUCAUAUUUCAUUGGUUCUAUAAUGGUACCAUCUUGAUAUUUCCAGAAGCUGUCUAUAGAAGGUUUUUGCCCACUAUAGUGCCAAGGUUUUGGCAUUGUAACCGCCAACUGGAUGAUAUUGACUAUUAUAUUCCAAUAAUUCUAAGAUGCAUCCAGAACUUUGAAGAUGUUAAAAUGCAAAAAUCCUGCUUCUUGUAGAAAAUUUCACUAAGACUCCUCAGAGUAGUGGUGAUUUGUGAGUAUAGCUGGAGUCCAGCUCCUCAGAUCCAGACCAUGCUGUGGAAAUAGAGGUUGUCAGCAUGAUACGAUGUGGAAUCAGAACUUCAGGUUAAUGGGAACGGGGGACCUGGAGAGUGUGUGGCAAAUGAUUCCCUCCAUUCAAGCAUGUCAGUGCUAUCAUCCUCUAUGACCUCCUAGGAGACCAGAGGAGGAGUAUUUUCGGUGACUCAUGAGUAUCCUCUAAACUGCUUAAACAUCACCAGAACAAAAGCUCAGACGCAAAGCUUUUUUUGCUCUUAUAGUUUGAAGGUAUAAAAUAUGUCCCCUAGGGUCUCCUUAUGCUGAAUUAGGAUAGUGUCUGAUUAAGCUGCCCAUAACUGGUCCUGGGAAAGCCAGGGAGAGUUUAAAUACUAUAAUUAAAGGCUCUCAUUGUAUGUUUUGCCUUUUAUGUUUCCUAACGGUUUGUAAGCUACCCAGAGACAAAUUAAUAUUUUAUUCCAUUACCUCCACCUUUUAGUAUCUUUAAUGCAGUGGAGCAAACAGGGUUAACAUUGGGCAUUUAAUGGAUGUUUAACAAGCAUCACAAGAAAACCAAUACUGUCAUUUCAUUGUUAUACAUCAUUUUGGGCCAAAAACAUUCCCCAGGUUGAGUCCCACCCCUGACUCCAAAUAAUCUUCCCCUGCUGAAAAAAAAAUGCUCUUAAAAUAAAAAUCUUCUCUGAGGAUCACUGCAAAAAUAGAUGUCCCUAGACUGUUUGGGAAAAAAAAAAAUGAUGGCACUACAGGGAUCCUGACUGCCCUUUCCAUAGAAAAAUGCUUUAAAGGGCAGUUAUCAGUCAAGAGGAGUCAAGCUGAGUGCUAAUCUGAUUCUGAAUACUCUUUCUGGCAAAGGAUUCCCAGUACUUCCUUGUGUCCAUGUCUAAGAAAGUGCCCUUGACAUUAUUGAUUAUCAGGCUGGGAAUUGAGCUACUGAAUAUCCUCCUUGUCUAAGAUACAGCUUUGGUUUCCUGCUCAAACCCCUUGUGGUUCCCUGGGAGGGUGAAGGUACUAUCUAGGUGGGGCGAAGAGGAGUCUAACUCUGGCUCCACCAUAUACUGGCAUGUGACCUUACCUAAGUGCUCUGUUUCUGAACUUCAGUUUCUUCUUUUCUUACAAGGUACGGUGAUGAUUAAUAAUACUGCCUUGUAAGGUAUGGUGACACCUAGAAACAAUAAGAUGCAGCAGGUACCUGUGCAUAGAUUGGUGUAUUUCCAUUUUCCCUUUUUUUGUGGUUCGUUUUUUGUUUGUUUGUUUGUUUGUAUGUUUUGUUUUCAAUCCUGAGCCUCUCUCUCUCUGGGCUACAAGUGCUAUAUCAUGAUGCCAACCAUCUGCCUGAAGGUCCAGAUUUGCUCACUCUCAAAUGACACAAGUCCGUGUUCCUCCCAUUAGGUGGGGCACUCUCCUUUUUGAUAGAUUUCUGCGAAGUGACAACCAAUCUCAAUUACCAGCAUUCAUUUUACUCUUGGACACAGUUUCUCUGUUUCUGAGUGUUUGUGUUGCUGACCAUCCCAGUGGGCAUGCUGUGAUCUCUUUCCCUUCCCAGGGAAAUCUUGAGACACAAGGUCUACCCCUUUGCAGCCCUGGAUUCAGCAGCAACCAGCCAAGGGAGAGCAAGAAUGAAUCUGUGCAGCCCAUCACUAUCCCUGUGAACCUUGUUAAAAGACAAUUCAAUAUGGAACUUGGGUUACCUGUGUCACUUUCAUAUAACAACAACAACUACAAAGGUGGCACUGCUUAUGGGAUCACCAUAAGCAUUGACAUCCAAGUUUCCAGAAAUUUCAUGUGUCAAAGCGGGAAAAGAGUGAACAUUUAUCAUGCAUUUUCUGUGUGUGCCAGGCUCUCUUCCAAUGGCUACACAUUUAUCAUUUUGUUUAAUACAGCAGACCUAUGAUGUGAAAGGUAUAAUAGCUAUAUUUUAUAUGAGUGGAAACAGAUUUAGAGAAACCAGGUGUCUCACAGAAGGCUAUGUAGCUACUGAGGGGCAGUGUGACUCCGCAGUUCUCUCUGCUACCCUUCAACUAAAGCCAUCCUCCGUGGUGCAUUUGUCAUUUUCAGAUUCAAACAGGUUACUAAGGGAACUGGAUGUGUUGGGGAAGUUCUUGAGACCUGAAAGGAAAGAGACACCCAUGGUUGUGUUACGGAUGGAACUGUAUCUUCAGUCACAAGUGAUCACAUUCAGGACCCUAUAAAAGCUUUCUCAGGGGUCAAGGAACAGCAAGAGUUUCAGGUACACUGUGUCAAGUGUCCAAUGGCAUGGAAGGGAUUAAAUUCCCAAGGUCAAGUCUUUGGGCACCAGUGCAUGGAGUGUCUUCAGGGUAUAAAGAGAAAGAUCCACAUGCCCUUCCCUCUCUUGGACUCCACUGUCUACUCUGUGUCAUAUGUAAUUAGAGGGUGUGUGUAUACGAGCCCGAUCUGAUGCAAAUUAGAAGAGAUGUUCUCUAGGGGUGCCUGGCUGGCUCAGUGGGUAGAGUAUGGGACUGUUCAUCUGAGGUUCGUGAGUUCAAGCCCCAUAUUGGGCGUGGAGCCUGCAGAGAAGAGAAGAGAAGAGAAGAGAAGAGAAGAGAAGAGAAGAGAAGAGACGAGAAAAAAGAAAAGACAGAAAGAAAAGAAAAGAAAAAAGGAAUCUUCCUUCAAUGCUAAGUCAAGGAAUUAACUUGACAUGUAAUUCUCUCACUAACUGUAAAAAUCAAAAUAAAGGCAUCAGGAACAAUACAUCCUGAAGCAGAAACGGCAUAUUUAUUUCUGUUCUUACACUUUAAUAUCAAAACUCAAUUAUUUGAAACUAUACCCUCUCUAGGAGAUUUUAAGUUGCCUCUAUUUGCCUCUCCUCAAGAAACAUCAUACUUAAGCUUUGAAUCUUUGGGCGGUGAGGUCACUUAAAGGUUCUUCCUGCCUGUUGGCAAUGUCAGGAAGUGAAAACUAAUUGUUUUGUUGAACAUCCACUUUAUUUCAUUGAUAAAAUGAAGACAUGUAAAAAAAUAUGUUCAUUGCCUUUGAAAAAUCAAAAUGUAUUAAUUAGAGUACAUGUUAGGUCACAAGCUCAUGCCUCAGAAACUGUUUUGUUUGAAAACCACAGAAGUAAAUUUUACUUAUCCUUAUCAAAAACAUAUAUAUAUAUAUAUAUUUUUUUUUUUUUUUUUUAAGUGAGAGAGGGAUUUACUGGAAAACUAUCAUUAGCCCUGGGGGCAGGGCAGCAGGAACCACAGCUAAUAUUCUACCAAAGGGACAGUAAGGUUCAUGCACCACUGAGUUUCAGAUAUUCCCUUAUUCUAAGUAUAAUUUGAUCAAGAUUAAAAGUUCUAAAGAAGAAAAUCUAAUUGACUAAGACUAGGUCACCAACCUACAUCUAGGCUUUUCCAGGAGGUAGGAAGGGAAGAAUAUGGCCUCGUUGGCUCUCAUGUGAGGGAAGUGGCAGAGGAAGGACUUACCUUGAAGAAUUCACCCAAAUAGAAGGUGACUAUGUUACAGAAACAGAGGUAGGAAAGUAUUGAAUGCUAACAAGGAAGAAACAAAUUAUUAUUUUUUUCUUCUAGAAACAAAUGUACAUAUCAUGUUAUGUGUGUGUGUCUUAUAUAACAUACGUUUCUAAACACUGUGUUUAAAAUGUCUUUCAUCUCAGUUGUAAAAGAGUAACCCUCUAGUUGCAAUAAUUUGGGUGCUGUAUCUUUUCACAACUGGUAAUGCAAACGGAGCCACAAAUUGAUUUUGUUUAAAACUAGAGUUAUCCCAUAAUGGCUUUCUUUAAGGGACGGAAGCUGAAUAUGUAAUUGAACUCCCUUAGGGAAGGGAGUUCUGAAUUCUGCCUUCAGGAAGCUUCUGUUUUGAAUAGAUCUCAAUGGAGGAUUCCAUCACAGAUGCCAUUACUUCAACCAGACAAUUAUCCCUUAAGAACCAAGUGUACUGGGAUCCCUUUCUCUUUUAUUUCUCUUCAUGUGUGUGAGCGUGUAUGUGAUGCUUGUUUGCAAUCACAUAUGCUAUUCCAACUCUGACUGGUAUGCUUGGUUUUAUCCUCUUUUCUAGGGAAUUAAGUAACUCAUAUUUGUUAGUUGAAUACAUGCUAGGAGCCACUAGCAUCUGUUUUAGAAUCUACUUCUGGUGAUGAGGCUGUCCUUAAGGAUCACCAGCCCAGCACACAUUUUCCUUGUCCAGAAAUUCACUGGGGCAUAAAAAUCUCAUGCUUGUUAUCUUUGUCCUCUUCUUUCUUGCGUAUGGGUCAUUUAUCCCCUACUACUCCAGACUUUCUGGCAAUUUUUAAGCACUUCUGAUAAAACUCAAUCUGACCUAUUGUUACUUAGGGAAAUUGACACUCUUGUUUGUUAUUUAUAACUGUGGAUGACAAGCAUGAAAAAAAACACACUUUUCCCACUUUUUAUUCUUCUCAAAACACAUCAAUAAUUGGUAUCUGUGGUUUUUGUGGGCACCUCUGGGAAUCUGCCCACAGGAGUUGGCAAUCAAGGAAAGCAAAACCAAAGCCCAGAGAUUCUAGUUGGGCUAUAAAUCGCAGAGCCAGGGAAUAUACGGACUCCUUGCCCUGUGGAACCCAAGCUUGGGGAUUUCAAGACCUGAUCAAAAUUUUGAGUGUAAUUUGGGGCUGACUUUGACAAGGUAUCAGUUUAAGAUUAAAAUAAAAUAACAAAAACAGCAAAAUAAAUAAAACAUCAAAACCAAACUUCCAGCAGUCAACAAAAGAUUUCCAAAAAGAACAUUUUUAUCACCAAAAGGAUGGAAGCACAUCAUCUCAAAUUAAAUGACAGUCAUUUAUUUUGAAUAAAUUUAGCUUUAUGAAAAACAGACUUUAUUUUCUUACUUUUUUGUUAUAUUUAAAACAUGCCUCACUAAACUCUUCAACAUGACACUCUACAAUAAAGAUAAAUCUCAUAAACCUAAUGGUGAGUGAAAGAAGCCAGACACAAAAUAGCUCAUACUGUAUAGUUCCAUUUUUAGAAGUGAUAUAAACAGGUGGAGCUAAUCUCUGCUGAUAAGAGUCUGGGCAGUGGGUUAUCAUUCAAGAGAUAGAUGGGGAGGGUCUAGGGAGAGACUGGAAGGGAGUGAGGUAGGGCCCAUUUCUAGGGUGCCAGUAGUAUUUGUGUGCUGAUUCAGGUGACAUUAUACUAAUCUACUCAUUUUGUGAAAAUUCAGCAAGCUGUCCAUUUUUUACAUGUACUUGGUAAUAUACUGUGAUUCAAUUAAAUAAAAAAUAAAGGAUUUGUCAUCAUAUUCCUGUAUAAACCUAUAAGCAUUUUUGAAUCACUGAUUCUGGUUUGGUUUCCCUCUUGACAGAAAGGAAGACUGUCUAGUUCAAAGUCGUGAAGCUAACCAGUGAUCUGACUGGGAGCAGAGCUUUCUCAGCUCAGUCUGGGGGCUUUGCCACGCUGCUGGGUCCCUCAUCCCGAGAUAACCAUUGUAUUUGAAAAGUCUCUGCAAGGAAGGGCCCAACUUAUACUAGUGUGUUUAUUCAGGUGCCAGGCACUCAGUAGACACCCCAUCUUUACUUACUAAGUGAGGUCUAGAGUGCAUUUGGCUGUUACUUGUCUUUAACCAGGGAGCUAGGCAAUUCUUGCUACAUAGCUGUCUCGUUCACACUUAUAUAUCUUUUGGCCAUCAUAUUAUCUCUUUAAGAAAAUUAAUUUCUGGGGUGCCUGGUGGCCCAGUCGGUUGAGCAUCCUACUCUUGAUUUCAGACCUGGUCAUGAUCUCAUGGUUCAUGAGACUGAGUCCCCUGUUGGGCUCUGUGCUGACAGCAUGGAGCCUGCUUGGAAUUCUCUCUCUCUGCCCCUCUGCUACUUGCACGUGCAUGUUUGUGCAUGCUCUUUCUCUCACUAAAGGACUCCUUCUGGGUCCUUCCCUUCUGCUCACAGAUAUGCUCAAUAUUCCUCUUAGAGAACAAAUGAUAAAAAAAAUAGCAAAGCAAAAUAAACAAAAACAGCCCCUUUCUUUGUCUCUGAUAGUGCGCCCUCAGAUAUAUAUUGGGUGUCCAUCCUGUGCCCACAUGCCAGCCCAGGCAACAGUCAGUUCCCAAUCUCCCUCUUUGGCUGCUUCUUUACAUCUUCAUACUUUUUGAAGAAGACAUGUAAUUCUCAAUUCUUCCUCUUCCUCAUCUUCAAUUUUCUCCUCAGUCCAGGACUGUCUGGCUUCUAUUCUCACAGGUCUGCAAACACUGUUCUUUUAACGAAUGCCCAUGUCCUCUUGGUAGGGCCUCCCUACAUCCUAACUUUCCUGGUAUAGUUACAGUAUAUAUACCUGUGGUCCUGCAGCUCAUAUUAAUGAAUCUCUAUUUUUAUUUUUUUUUACAUUUUACAGUAUAUUUAUUUUGAAAGAGAGAGAGAGAGAGCAUGGGAGGGGCAGAGAGAGAGGGAGAAAGAGAAUCUUAAGCAGACUCCAUGCCCAGCACAGAACCUGAUGUGGGGCUUGAUCUCAUGAACCAUGAUAUCAUGACCCAAACCAAAAUCAAGAGAUGGACGCUUAAUUGACUGAGCAACCCAGGUGCCCCAAUGAAUCUCUGUUUUUAAAUUCACAAAAAUAUCACAGAUUGAAGAAUUGUGAUCAGUACUACAUCUUAGUCACUAUAUAGAUGGCCAUUACCGAGUCCGCUUUCUUAUUGGCAGCUGUCAACCUUGGGCAUACGUGCAUUAAGGCUGUAAGCAUAGGCUUUGGCACAGUACCCUGGGUUCAAUUCCUAGCAGCCUUGUGUAGGACCUGUGUGAGUUUAGGCAAGUUACUAAAGUACUCGGAUCCUCAGCUUCUUCAUUUGUAAAAAGGGAAUAGUAAUAAUAGUGCCUACUUCAUAAUGCAUUUACAUACAUUCAAUAGGAAAAGUAUCUAAAAUGUGUUGUGCGUUACCUGGGACAAUUAACAUUCAAUUUGUGGGACCAGUUAUUAUUGCAUCUUCCUGGUUGAAUCUAUCCCAUGUUCUUCAGUGUUUCCAUGUUUUGUUUUGUUUUGUUUUGAGAGAGUUUGUAUGACAGAAUGCAUGUGCAAUUGGGGGGGGCAGAGGCAGAAGGAGAGAGAAUCCCAAGUUGGUUCCACGCUCAGCACAGAGCCCUAUGCUGGGCUCAGUCUCAUGUCUACAAGAUCAUGAACUGAGCUGAAAUCAAGUGUCAGAUGCUUAGCUGACUGAGCCACCCAGGUGACCCCACCAUAGUGUUUUGUUUUUGUUUUUUGUUUUUUGUUUUUUUUGUCUUCCAUGAUGUUUCUUGGAAUCCUUCUGUCCAAUCACCCCUUACUCACUUGGUGUCCAUGUUUAUCAUUUCUGUGUUUGACACUACAUUUGUGUCUUAUGGUUAAGCCUGUGGACUGAGCAGCCUAACUUCAUGGGUUCAUAAUUUCAGAUCUGUCACUUAGAGCUGAGUGUACUUGGACUCGUUAUUUACCUUUUGUUGCUUUGAUUGCCAUAAUUAGAAAUGAGAUUUAUAGCAAUAUCUAACUUCAUAGCUGCUACCUAUUUCACAGCCGUAAUAUUAUAAAGAUUCAGUGAGCUAAGGCAUGUAUCAAGUGCUUAACAUGACACAUGGAACAGGGUAUACAACCACAAAAUGUUAGCUAUUGUCAUUUUCAGUCAUCAGAUUUAGUAUUUUGGCCUUGCAUUCAUUCCCUCCUCUCCCCUGCCCCCAUAUAGGCAUCUAUGUUUAGUCCUGUGCAUUUGUUCUCUGUGGAGCCCUCACAAACACCACCUCCCGCCCCACCUUUCCCUACCUUCCACUCUUACUCUGGUUCAGACCAUUGUUCCUUCUUUCAGAUUUACUAGAAUAACUUCCUAAUUUGUUUCCCUGCCUACACUCUGUUCCCAUUCAACCUAUUGUCCAUAGUAAAGGAGUUGAAUUUUUCCAAACCAUAUCAUGUGCUCUUUGACACUAAGAACUCCUGUGGUUUCCCUUUGUCUACCGAUUAGAUUUCAAACUCUAAGUUCUGCUGUUCAAGCUCUCCUACGUCUAGAUCUUAUUCACCUUUCAAACAUUAUUUCUCUUUUGCUCAAUUGCUGCAUCCAGUGCCUAACCAAAUGGGCCCGUUUUCUCUUCCUCAUGUUUGACUGCAGUUACCCCAUUGAAGACUUUGUUUCCAUUGUUCUGUAAUUUUCAAUACCCUCCCUUCUCUAAAUGCCCAGUUACUACCAUCUUUUAAAAUUCAAUUCAGAUGUCACCUUCCCUUUGACUUCCCUGAUAUGUCCUCUGCCCCUGAAAUGGAAGGUUUCUCUCUAACCAGUGCAAACCUCUGAGAUAUUGUCUAACUCUUCGCAAUAGGUGCAAUAUUUUCUACCAUGUGUUGAAGACAACUUUUUCCCACAAGAACAGCACCUGCAAAUGCUUAUUCUCCUUGGCUCUCUGUCGUCUGUCCUUCAUCAUGCAGUUUACAUCAGUGUGUCCGGGGAAGGGAGGGGAGUUGCUUGAUUCCAUUAACCUCGUUGUGUGCAAGAAUUGAACCAGGCUCUGUGAAGGCCACUACAAAAACCAUAAGAGCCUCUAUUUCUGCCUUGCAGGUACAUAAAGCUGAAUUGAGAAGAGGGCACACACAUGAAAAUGACUUAGGGACACAAACAGGUGCAGAUUAAUGAAGUACCCCAGGAAUUGGUAAGUGCUGAAAACACACAGAGUCGGGACAGCCCAUCGGCUCUGUGGAAUAAUGGGUGAAGGGUUGGCAGAGAAGGGGGGUUUUGCAGAAGGAAUAGAAAGAAGAGGAACAAUAUAGUAUUGCUGGCAAAGAGAAGGAAAGUUACCCUGGUGUGUAGAAGCAAAUGGGCAAGGUGCAGCACUGUCUGUCUCCUCAACUACCUGAGGGACAAGGCUGGCUCUGUCCUGGAGAAGUUUAGGCCCAAGUCAAGAUAUUCUCCACCCCCAGCUCAAACACUGAGGAAAUCAAUCUUAUGUUUAAUGGUAAGAACAUGCAUUUUAGAGUCAGACAUACUGGGUUACUUCUUCUUUUACUUAUCAGGUGUGUGAUCCUGGGACCAUCAGUUCACCUCACUAAGCCUCAGUUUGCCCUUCAUCACAGGUCAGGGUUUAAAACAUGGGUUUUGUGGUAGAUUAAAUUCUACCAUUCCUAAGUUCUGCAUCCGUGGCUUUGGGAAAGUCUCCUAACCUCUCUGAUCUUCUUCAUCUUAAUAGGAUGGCCAUAAGAGUGACUGAAAUAGUGUAUGUAAGGGUCUUCUAUAUCAUUAAAAAAAUCAAUGCAUUUUAUUUUUGUAAAGAUUUAUUUAAAUUCCCGUUUGUUUCAGAUGUACAAUAUAGUAACUGAACACUUCCAUACAACACCCAGUGCUCAUCACAAGUGCUGUCCCUCAUCCCAUCACCUAUUUAACCCAUCCCUCCACCAGUCUUCCCUCUGGUAACCCUCAGUUUAUUCUCUAUAGUUAAGAGUCUGUUUCUUGAUUUGUCUCUCACUUUUUCCCCCUUUGUUCAUUUGUUGUGUUUCUUAAAUUCUACAUAUGAGUUAAAUUUUAUGGCAGUUGUCUUUCCCUGACUGACUUAUUUCACUUAGCAUAAUACUCUCUAGCUCUAUCCAUGUCAUUGCAAAUGGCAAGAUUUCAUUAUUUUUUAUGGCUGAGUAAUAUUCCAUUGUGUUUGUGUGUGUGUGUGUGUGUGUGUGUGUGUGUGUGUGUGUGUGUGCUUGUGUUUAAAAUCUUAUACCGUAAUCUUCUUUAUCCAUUCAUCAGUCAAUGGAAACUUAGGCUGUUUCCAUAAUUUGGUUAUUAUAAAUUUUUUUUAAUGUUCUUAUUUAUUUUUGAAGGAGAGAGAGAGACAGAGCACAAGCAGAGAGAGAGGGAGACACAGAAUCCAAAGCAUGCUUCAGGCUCUGAGCUGUCAGCACAGAGCCCGACGUGGGGCUUGAACCCACGAACCAUGAGAUCAUGACCUUAGCCGAAGUCGGACGCUCAACCGACUGAGCCACCCAGUGCCCCUGGGUAUUAUAGAUACGCUGCUAUAAACAUUGGGGUGCACGUAUCCCUUACAUUACUAUUUUUGUUUUCUUUGGGUAAAUGCCUAGUGGUGUAAUUGCUGGGCUGUAGGGUAGUUCUAUUUUAAAGUUUUUAUGAGCCUCCAUAAUGUUUUCCAGAGUGGCUGCACAAGUUUGCAUUCCCACCAGCAGUGCUAGAGAGUUACCCUUUCUCCAUAUCCUCACCAAAACAAUGCAUUUUAGAGGAUAUUAUCAGCAUUAUUCCUUAUAUCCUUAGAGUCAAUAGCAUCUUCUAUGAAAUGGAAAGCUAAUCAUUAUUUACAGAGAAUGUUGUGUGAGUUUAAUGAGCCAUCAUCCAAAAUUCUGGGCAUUGAGUGGGCACCCGAUAAAUGAAGGGUUGGUACUACUCCAAGACAAUAUAUACCUGAGAUCUUCCACUGGAUGUCUGGUACUAAACAUAGUUUCUAAUACAAUGUCAGUGUAAACUACUGUCCAGACAAAAAGAGGGACUAGGGAAAUAAAAUUUUAGUGGGAAUUAUGGGUCAUGCACAGCUGAUAGAUGGUAGAUCUCUAUGGACUAAUGAAUUGUGCAAAUUAUUUCUGCCUUGUUGGAGGCCAUUUUCAUUAAAUAUGGAGAGUAUUAAUAAGGCUGUAGAUUCUAACUUUCUUCAGACGAUAUUCUUCUGUUUUAUUUACACCUUAUUUGCAACAAAUUCAUGUUCUUGCACCCAUAUUCUCUAACUCUAUCCUUUGAUUCUUAUUUUAUUAUGGAUUUUAUCACUUACUAUAUAAAACUGAAAUAUUUGUAGACAGAGUCACCUUGCUUUUAAGAAAGUGCUUUCUAUUAGAGUCUAAGGCAUGGUGUGUUUCCUGGCAGUUAUAAUUAUUGACUUUUUAAAAUGUUUAUUUAUUUUUGAGAGGGAGAGAGAGACAGAGUGUGAGCAGGGGAGGGGCAGAGAGAAAGGGAGACACAGAAUCCAAAGCAGGCUCCAGGCUCCAGGCUCUGAGCUGCCAGCACAAGCCAGACAUGGGGCUCAAACUUACCAACCAUGGGAUCAUGCCCUGAGCCAAAGUCGGAUGCUCAACUGACUGAACCACCCAGGUGCUCCUGGAAAACUUUAAUUAGAUCCUGGAAGGGAGGAAUAAUUCCUUGGGUUAAGUUACACAGAAAAAAAGAGACAAAAAUGAAAAAAAAAAAAGUUCUCUAAAGAAUGAAGAAGGGAAGGAAAAGAAGCUUAGUCAUGGCAAUUUAAUCAGCUUAGCUAAACUUUAUCAACUUGCAAUCUCGGAAGUGGCUAGCAACUUCAUUUGCAAAUGUUUAUUAAGUACCUCCUAAAUGCAGGCAAGUGAAGUGCUACACUAGGUAGGGUGGGAAUUAGAAGGAUAGGACAUAGCCUCUGCUCUCAAGGAACUUCUAUCUUAGUUGUAGAGGGAAGUAGAAAUUAAUAAAACUUGAGUAAGCCUCUUGACCACUUUGAUUUUAGUCUGUAGAAGACAGGCCAUGAUGUUGAAGGAGUUUGGAAACUGGUCAUCUGAGAAAUGAUGAAAAGAUGUCAGAGUCAUUGCUUUGGAGAGAUUAAGUGGGAAGGUAGUUUCAGAAACUAAAUGGCUACUAUUAGGAAAAGUUUCAGAUUCAUUUCAUGUGGCUCCAAGAGGCAGAAUUAAGACUGAUUAAUUUACUAUUUCAACCAUUUAUUUAGUCAUUAAAUAAAUACUUACAAAAUAUCAACUAAAUGUCAGAUAGUGUUGUGUCACAGAGGAAAAAAAAGCAAAAAAAAAAAAAAAAUCUAUGCCCUAACGAUGGGAAUUCCCCAAAGGAUACAAAGGCUGUUUGCUUCAGGAGUUGGACUUCUUCAGAAUCCGAGCUUUUCAGCAAUGAGCUUCUUAUGGAGGUAGGAUCAAAAAUUUCUCAGAGCUUUCAAAUUGUUUAUACACAAAAAGCAUUCAACAUAUUGAUUGAUUGAUUGAUUGAUUUAGCAAAUAUUACUAUUUACUAUAACCCACAAACCAUACCAAGUGAUGGGAAUACAGAGAUAAAUAAAACACAAGUGUUAUCUUCACAGACCUUACAUCCUAGAUGGAAGGAGAGACACAACAAACAUUCAUACAAAUAAACAUGAUAGUUUCAGGGAUGAUUCAUGUAAAAGUUACAAAGCAUCCUUUAUAAUUGUGAUAAGGAGAAUCUGAAUGGGAUGCUUUAAAUUGGAUGAUCAGCUUGCAGACGAGUUCCCCAUGCCAGUGAUUGCCCUCAGCUGAAGAGGGCAGUCACCCAAGACCAUGUUCCCUUCCAGGGAGGGAGGUUUAUGGGGAGAGUUCACAUGCAAUGACUCACCAAGUAAGUAUAUAAAGACCUAGAUACCUCAUUCUAAUAAGGUACAACUAUGCAGAGCCUUCUUCUAAAACUCACCACAGUGUUGCCUGAGACUUUCAUUGAGAUGGCAUCACAUUUCUACCUCUCCUUCUGACCAACUCUGUUUUCUUCACUUCCCUUCAGAGUUUCAUCCUGAGAACACUCCCCAGUAAAUUUCCUCCAUGCAAAUUUCUGUUGUAGAGUUGGCUUCCCACAGUCUGCUUUUACAUGGCCUAUGACAGAUGUAAUUGAUAAGGAGUUAACUGUGCAAAAAAUACAUUGGUCUACUCAACCAUUUAAAUCAAUGAAAUUGAUGACAAUAUGGUACUAUUAUUAAUACAAGUCCAAGAAGAUAAGAUCUUUUUUUUCUGAUUUCCAAACAAAUAUGAUCCUAGCCAGCUGUCCCCUCAUAGAUGUUCUCUGUGACCAAGACUGCCUUAGCAUUCCCUCAGCGUAACUCAACUUCAGACAAGUUUCCCUUUGACAAGAGGCCCCUGACUUCCAUUUUCUUCAAGCAUUUGCUUUAGAACACUUGGAAUUAUAAAUGUUUUCUCUGCCCUUGAAAAUGUAAAGCCUUCCUUGCCAGUUUUAUAACCCAAGAAUGUCUUUGUCAAGGACAGGAACUCUCCCUUUGAAAUAUGAUCAUCAGGGAAGAUAGGCAUAUUACCUUGCAGUCUCUGUGAGUGGGCAGGAGCCUAACUUUAAUUCAGCACCAAUUAGCAGAAAGUGAUGGUGUAACCACAUUGACCAAACUCUAUCCCAAUGCCCUCCAGUAGUUUUCCAUGAGCUCACCAGCUGCUUAAAAAACAAACAAACAAACAAACAAAACACACACACACACACACACACACACACACACACGACUUCCUUGUCUGUUGAACUGCUUCUGGUGAAUUUAUUUCUUUGACACCUCCUUUCUCUGACAAUCAUUUUAGCAAGCAGGGAGGCUGGCAAGGGAAAAGUAGCUAGAAUUAGCAAAGCUUGAUUCUUCCAGCAGUAAACUCUCAGGUUUUUAUAUUAUUCAUUUGAAUUCCUCCUGGUCAGGAUCCCAGGAGACUAUAAGAAUCCCUGUAGUUAAACUUCUAUAAGGGCAGCCAUAAUAAAUCUGCUGAUAUCUCAGACACCCAACUGGAUAAUGAGGUGGAAAAGAGCUGGCCUUGGAGAGCCAAGCAUGGGAAUGAAGCUUGGGCUCUGGUGUGGCUGAACGGGCAGUUGAGAUUUCAGGCCUCAGGAUCUACAUUACCAAGCUCCAAAACUGAUACUGAGCAUCCAAAAGUAUGAUUAACUUGGCUAUUUCUAAGGGCUCUUCCUAUUCUGAUGAUUCUGUAUCAACUUCUUUAAGCAUCAACAUGGACUUCCAAGAGUUCAUUUGUUGUGGUUACACAGUGGUCUAUUGAGCUGAUACACUGAAAUUUACCUUACAACCCCCCACUAGAAUUUGAGUUACCUAUUCUUUGCUAUUUGUUGUUUGUUUGCUUGCUUGCUUGCUUCAAGGUUAUUUUUCACUAGGAUACACUAUCAGUGUUGGGAUUACCAGGUCAAAAUGCAUAUCUUUUUUAUGUUUUUGUUACCUCUUCAGAUUGCCCUUUUAAAAGAUGAAAAAAAGUUCAUUUGCUGCCAGCACUGUAUAUACCGCUACUCUACAGUCUUCUCCUAUUCCCUUUAUGUAAUUUAAAUUUGCUGUUUUCAUCAUUUGUUUGAAUGGACCUGGUAAUUAUUUUAAAAUAAUUUUAAUGUAUUUAAUUACUGUUUAGUCUAUUUGUUCCCUGCAGGUAACAUGACAACAAAGACUCUUGACAUACGUUUCAGAUAAUUGUCCUUGGGCACAGCCCUCUGGUUUCAUCUUGUCCUUGGCUAAGUGUAAAGGAUUCUUUCUGUGGUUAUUUAAUUACUGUGGUAUGAACAAUGGUAAAGGAGAGAUCUCAGAGGAACGAGUGCCAAGCAUGGAGAGGUAUCUAAAGCAGGACUUAUUUCUGAGCUGUGAGAGAGGGACCCUCUAAGUUUAGGGAGAUACACAUUGAGCCUGAUUCCUGUACUCUUUUCUCCCCCAAUCAACUAUGCGACAUUAUGUUAAAAUCAAGUAAGAACAGCUCAAAAAAUGUAAGAAGCCCUCUAGAGGUCGCUUCAGUGUGAGGCAGCCAGAUAGGAAUGGGAAAGAGUAUUGGGAUUGGUAGGUUACAGGCUAACUGUAUGUAUAUGAGAAUUAGUUUAUUUAUAUUAAACAAGCAAACAAAACUGUAUAGAGAUAAACAUUUUGCAAAAAUAUUACACAUAGUUUGAAACAAUUGAAACAAUAUGCAAGAGUAUACAUUUUUAAAUAAUGAUCAUUUUCCCGUUUUAUUUCUGGGAGGCAUCUUGUGUUAAGUUCUGUGUACUUAUAUAGAAUUUUAAACAUUAUUUCAAAUAUUAUUAUGAAAUAUAUUCAUACAAGAAACAAUAAGGAUUGAUGGAAUGAAUAUUUCUUUACCUGUUUUUACUUUACCAAAUUUAUCAAACUCCUGUAUUUCAGAUAGUUCCACAUUUGUUUUCUUUUAUGCCCAUACACAUUAUGUAGUAGGUUGAGAAAUUUUUCAUUCCAUCUUUCUUUCUAAAUAUACUCAUAGUCUGUAUACAAUUCCCCUUCUGGCAUUUUCCCAAGUCAGUACAUCUAGGAUAGUCAUUUUCAAACUGACCACACAUUAUAAUCACAUGGGAGCUUAAAAUAAAUCUUCAUAUUUAUGUUAAGAUGUUUAAAAAUGUAAUUGAGAGCUUCUCAGUCUUUGCUGGAUAUCUACAUAAUUUCAAAUUAUGUGCCCCAAAUUACUUAACUAUUACAAAGAGGACAAGGGUGACCUCACAGUAAAAAGGUCUGGAUACCACCUUAAUUAUGUUAUCAAAGAUAACAUUACCAAUAUUAGGACAAGAUAACAUCAGUGUGCUUCCUGACAUGAUGCACUGAAAGCACAUAACAUCACUUUUCUAAUGUUCCUAUCAAAAAUUCAUAAACUGGAUCUAAUCUUGAGGAUAGCCAAGACAAACAGGACAGUCUACAUAAUAACUGUUUUAAUACUCACGGCCAGCAUUUGUGUUUGAAGUAAAAUGAAAUAACUAUAAACUAGUCCUCCCAUUUAGUGACUGCUCAUAAGAUGUUACUUUAUAAACACACGUAAACAAAUGUGAAAGAGGGAGACUAGGGAACCUAAUAGGCACCUUCUCACUCUUCAGACAUAAUUUCUUUUUGCUUUCAAGCAUAUAUUCUUAUAUUCUUGAUCAGAUAAUCUCAUCACCAAAUAUACACUUAGCAAUGUACUAUCAUAAUUUGUGUAUCAAUAUAUCUUCUUUUGUAUGUGAUUUUUGAAUGUUUCAUUGUAUGAUUACAUCAUAAUUAUCUAGAGUUACUCCUACAGGGUUUAUUAUAGAAUAGAAAAUCCUCCAGGAAAUGCUAUUCUAUUAGGGAUAUUCUAUAUUACAAUGCAUUUGCUUAAUUUUUGUUUUAGGCUAAACUGUAGGAUUGGAAUUACUGAUCAAAAACUUUUUUUUUUCUCGACUGUUUUCCAAUGGCUAUGGCAUUUCAUGUCAGUUUUAUAUUACCUAUAAGUGAGAUAAAGAAGCAUUUUAUGUAUUUAUCUAAGUCAGUAAAAAUGUGUAUUAGAGAGAUCUAAGUAAAAAGAUUUUUGGCAGAAUUCUAGAUAUGAACAUCUAGAUUGACCCAGCGAACAAUUCAGAGUCCCCAUCAAGUGUAUAUACAUUGAAUAGUGUCCUUUUCUGUCAGUGAUGUUCUUCCAAAGAGACUUAUAUUUUCUAAAAGAGUCACCAUUACACUGAACAGCCAUAAUUUCUAGAAUGGAAUUUUAGUACUAUUUUAUAAAAUCAUAACUACAGCAAUGAAUUAUUAUGAAAUGCUAAUAUAAAGAUACGUGGUUCAUUUCUCUCUCUGGAUCUUCUUCCUUUCCUAUUGGGUGCAUUUCAAAAUCAUGCGGUUGUACAAUAUUGGGUGACAAACGUGACUUUUCACUUUCAGAGUACAAAGUUAGGAGUCCUGUUGACUCCUAACGAUCUUGUCUAAUUUUUCUCUGUUUAUUCUUUCUUUCCUCUUUCCUUUCAUCCCUUUCCUCAUUCCUUUCCUCCCUGCCCCUCUUCCUUCUUUCCUCCCUUCUUCCCUCCCUUCCUCCUUCCUCUCUUCUUUCUUUCCUUCCCUCCUUACGUGCAGUUGAAAACCAUCUGCUUAAUAAUUAGCUGUGGAGUUUGGACAAGUAUUUUUGGAAUAUUCUAGGUAGAAUAAGUCCACAUUUUACUAUUGAAGGAGAGCUGGAGUUACCUGAUGAUGAUGUGCGUUCAUUUAUACUCAUUCUUAUUAAGUUUGUAUUUGUUUAUUAUUUUUUUGGUUAAUGUUUAGUGAAACAUUGGGUAUCCAUACUCUUUCAUAAGACUAGAACCAAAGUCAUAGACUAUUCAAUGAAGAAAGCGUUCGUAUAAAGCAUCUUAUUUAAUGUUGGAAUUUUUAUUCAAUAUGGAGCCUAAGGAUGGAUUGUGAUUUGAGUAAAUUUAUGGUCAGGCAGUGGUAGAGCCUGGACCAGAUUCCAGUUCAUUGUGAUUCCUAGAUUAAUGCUCUUUUUCUACUCUCUGUUCCCUGACUUUUUAUUUCUUUUCAAUUACUAUUGGGUAUAUCCAAGAAUUAUGCAUCCUUUAUUGCAUUUUAUCAAGAGUCUUUCUUUUUCCUUUCAUUGUCUUAAUUUUCCUUUUCUCUUUCUUUCACUGCAAAGAACGUAAUUCUAAAGGCUACCAGUUCCUUUCCGUAACAAAACCUGCUCUCAAUUCUGUUUUCUCCAGGCUAUAUACAAGCACUGUGUGUAAUACGGUGAUAUCUGUUUGAAGCCCAGGGCAUGGAAUAUGAAACCUGGCCUCCACUCUCCACCAUUGAAUAAAAAUUCCCCUGUCCUAUUUGCAGAAUAUUCCUGGCAAAUUUGGAUCCUAGGAAUGUACAUGGUCUGUAAAGGAUUUCCUCAGUUUUUACUGCACAUCAAGUUCCUGUGCUAAGUUAUUUUUGUGUGAAUUGUAUCUCUUAACAGUUUGUACAACAAUCCCUUUAAGAGAUGGUAUUAUACCUAAUUUAUAAAUGUGGAAAACUGAAUAUCGGAGAGGAAAUGAUAAUAAUUUAUGUUUUAGAUAAUGCAUGAUGGACCUAGAAUCUGAGGAGCAGUCUGUCAGACUCAGCCAGCUGAAGCUUGAUUCCUUCUGUCUUCAGUUUCAAGUGUGUGCGUGUGUGUGCACAUGCACACAUGUAUGCCUGAGUAUGUGUGUGACUGCGUAUGUCUGAGUCCAUCCACAUAUAGGUGAUAUUUGUAUCUGAAAUGUGUGCAUGUGAAUCCAUACAUAUAUGUGAACAGGUGUAUCCGAACAAGGGAGAGACGAUAUUAUAAUUUCAAGGGAUGUGGCUUCUCGUACAAAAAGGAAGCCACAUCAAAGGAAGACUAACCUUUGAAUAGUCUAAGCAUCUCUCAAUACAAGUAGAGCAAUGCCUAUUCUCAGUCUUUUCCAGGGGAGGAAUAGGCUCUCAUUUCAUUUUUUUAUAGGAACAUCUAUCCCUAGCCGGCAGUUUAUGAGCAGCUUUCUGUCGUGGGCAGGAGCGCUGGCUCACUAUAAUUAAUUCCUUUCUCACCCCCACACUUGAGAGUGAGAAAUGAAAGGGCACUAAAGGGAAUGCAGUUACAACCCACAAAGGAGCUACAUAAAAUGUUACCUUUUGGCUCAACACACCGCUCCCUUCAGGAGUCCUAUUCCUAAGUCCCCAUCUCAGCACUGAACACCAAGUUUAUUGCUGGCUGAGACCCAAUGACAGAUUCGUUGCAGUCACUCUCCAAGAUUUGGUAGGGAUAUUCAUUAAAACUUUGCUGAAAGUAAAGAUUUUGUGCCAAAGGUUUUCCCUUAUACCAUAUGUGUUAUUUAUAAGAUAAAUAAAGGCAAAGAAAAGAGAUGAAUUAUUGGUGGAAUUUAAACCUUGGAGUCAGAGAGUGGGGUGUAGUCCCCACAUUGUCAUGUAACAGUCUAGAGUAGGGUUCAGUCACCUAGACUUUCUGGACUUCAGUUUCUCUAUUUGUAGCACAAGCAUUGCAAUACAUGUACGAUUUGCGGGAAGGUUAAGUGAGUAAAGUGUAUAUACUGCCUAACACUGUGCCUUGUACAUAGUUCUCAGUCCUCACAAUGAUAUAAAUUAAAAGCAAUUAAAACACUUCUCCCAUUUAUCUUCCCAUGUACAGUUUACAAGGCACAUUCACAUCAUGUCGUGUUAUCCUCAGAGCAAUCUGUUAAGACAGGCAUGCAUUCUUUUUUCAUUUGAACAUGUUUCAUAAGUGAUGGAUGGCUGGGUUGGCUGAUGCUCUUUCCAGUGCAGUAGAUGCCACUAGGAGAAGAGAACAGUGGCUCUUCUAGCUCUGGAUCAUGCUGGAUGACUCUGUGAGGAAAACCUUCAAAACACAAACUCUGCUCCUUUCCCGUAGUAGGACACAUGGUCUUAAGGAACAAGGGCCUUACAAGGACCAGAAUCCUCACCCUGACCUUUCAGUCUGUGGUAAGCACCUUGUGCAAAACCUCAAUCUUGUUUCAAUUAAUACAUUUCAUAAUGUUAGUUCUAUUGACUUCUGUGUUUCUUUUUUUUUUUCUUUUUUAAAUAAGGCAGUGUUUUCUGUGUGUAAUGUAUUAUUUGAGGUUCUAUCUUCCUCUGUGAAUCAGGAAAAUAAAUUAUGGAAAGAGUUGGUACAAAUCCAAGGCUUCAGUUUGAGUUUUCCUCCCAGGGGAAAUGCCCUGGGGUUAUCUCAAGUGGCCACAGAAGAGUACAUGUAGAAGGCUUACUCAUGUAAGUACAUGUAGAAGGGAGGAUUCUAUGGUAAAAUGCAGAUAUCCUUCCCUGGUUCUCCUACCAGUCUUUGGUAAUUUGGAGAAAAAAGGAAAAAGAAACAGGUUGAGGGAUCCAUUCGCUUAUAAAAGGUGAGAGAAACAGACAGAACUGGGUGGCAAGGAGAAUAUGAAAAACUUUCUUAGCUUUAUACUUUUGAGCCUUCUACCCUUGCCAAUUUGGAAAACAAAGCACGUACAUAGUGUCAUUAUUAUUGUUUUAAUCAGCAUAAUGCAUCCAUCUACCCAUAUUUUUAAAAACAAUUUUAUGUUGGGGCGCCUGGGUGGCUCAGUCUGUUGAGCGUCCGACUUCGGCUCAGGUCAUGAUCUCGCAGUCCGUGAGUUCGAGCCCCGCGAAAGGCUCUGUGCUGACCGCUCAGAGCCUGGAGCCUGUUUCAGAUUCUGUGUCUCCCUCUCUCUCUGACCCUCCCCCGUUCAUGCUCUGUCUCUCUCUGUCUCAAAAAUAAAUAAACGUUAAAAAAAUUUAAAAAAAAAACAAUUUUAUGUUUAUUUACUUAUUUAUCUCCAGGCUCCAAGCUGUCAGCACAGAGACUGAUGCGAGGCUUGAACACACAAACUGUGAGAUCAUGACCUAAGUUGAAGUCGGACACUUAAUUGACUGAGCUCCCCAGGCACCCCCAUCUACCCAUCUUUAGUGUAUUAAAACCCAAAAUUGUUAUCAAUGCACUUAGGUGAACGAUAUCAUUCUUUAGUUCUGGGAACUGACCUCUUUCAAAUCAUGGAAUGUGUCCAUGUGCUCUCAUGGAUCCAGGGUGGAAGACACUAUUGGAAGUCUGUGCCUCUGACACUCAUCCAUUUAUUUUUAUUUGUUUAUUUUUAAAUUCAUCUGCAAGCACUUACUUGCUGGGCAUUUACUUUGUGAAUGGAGGAGCUAUCCUAAACUCAUUAUUACUGGAUUCCAAGAUAGUCAGGUGAAGUCUGUGUUUCUGGAGAAAUGGAGAGAAUCAGCACAAGUAGUGUAGAUGGAUCAUCCCCAACCACUGAAAAGAAACUAGAAUGUUCCCCGGGACUAGGUGGUAUGUAUGGACACCCAACACUCACCACCUGCUGUACCAGAAAAUGGUUCUACCUUGACAUGGUCUGGCUGGAAUGUGACUUUUGAAUACAUCAUGAUCAGAUGGUGGUGAGGGAGACAGGUGCCAUUUAAAUCUUGGGUGAAAAGAAGCCCAUGCCCUCUGAACCUCAAAGGAACUGGGCAAUCUGAUCCCACAUUUUGGAGAUGAAGAAUCUGAGAUUCAGAGAGAAAAGGUAACUUCACCUCAGCUUCCCAUUGGGCAGCAGGGGCAUUAGAACUCACAGCUUCUCAUCCCAUGUUUGAUGUUUUUGGUUUGGUUUCGUUUUCCAUAAAUCAUACUGCCAUGAAGCAUUAAUACAAAUAAUCACAAAGUCUUAAUUAUAUCAUUAUAUGUUACCUAUGGGUUUUUGGGGGGGAAACAAAAAUUAGUUCCAAGAAAAAGGACCAUUUAAGUUGAGAUGUGAUGGGUAAGUAGAAGGUUGGCUAGGUGACAAAUGCCAGGGUAGCACUGAAUCACUUUGAAGGUGUUGGUUCUCUAGGCAGAAGGAUUUUAGUUUAAUUCUACAACAAAUUUGUGCGUUGCAUCCCAUCAAAACUAAAAGGCAAGAAAAAUCUUAAAACCAAUCACUGGGCUUUUUUUCACAGAUGUCUGUGAUGGGCUGCCGAUGAGGACCUGAUGUCCUUAGUCGAACAGCCUGUGAGGAACUCAAUCCUGACAACAACCAUGUGAUGAGCUUGGAAGGGGCCCUUCUCCAGGUGAAUCUUGAGAUGAUUGUAGCCCAGUCCACAGCUGGAUCACAACCUUAUGAGAGAGGGUCCUUGAGCUGGAGGGUCCCAGAUAAGCCAUACCCAGAUUAUGGUUCCAAAGAAACUUUGAGAAAAUUACUGUUGUUUUAAGUUGCUUGGUUUUGGGGUAAUCUGUGACUUAGCAGUAGAUAAUUAAUAAUUAUUCCUUGCUGGGAUCAAGACAUGUUCAGUCUCAUUUUCAUAUGUCUUCUCCUUGAAGUCUUUGUCUAGACCCUUGAAAAAGAGGGUCAUAAAAUUUCUUCUCAUAAUUUUUCUUAGUGAAGAUAGACAUCAAACAAACCAUUAACUACACAGCUAGAGAACUUUGUCUUUUUCAUAGUCAUAAAAGUCUGUAUCUGAGGUUAAUUGACAUGGAAACAUCCAGUUAUUCAGAAACUAUGCCUUAAUAGUGAUACUAUUAAGGGCCUCAUGUUAAAAAAAGGCCUGUGGGGCUUCUCAGGCCUAUGGUACACUGCACCUUAGGCUAUCAUAAGGUCAGAAGCUACUUUCUGGAAGGGAGUGGGGGCUGGGGUCAUAUUAAUCUUCUCAACAUAGUCUUUUGUAGCUAUAGACGGCCUGCUUCGAUGGCAUGCGUUGUUCCCAGUGAGUUGGUUUCCCUGGCUUCUUUUAGGCCAAGGAUCUCCAAAGAAAAGGAGAGGUAAUUUGUGAUCUCCUGUAAGCCUAUGGAAGUUUUUACGCUAAUAACUAGGGAGACCGUCCCCUGAGGGAUUUGGGAGCAAUCCCUUGCCCUCUGCCUCCCACUUCUCUAAGGGGAAAUAUUACUGCCAAGUUUAUUCUGAGAACAGCUUAAAAAACACAUACCGAACAGCAUGUCCUGGCAAAAAUAAAAGCAAGAAUGAGGAUAGGCUAUUUCUAGAUAAAAAUUUAAAAAAAAUAUAUAUGCAGAGAAGAAAAAUUAAGCUCAUGCAAAUUUGUGACUUCUCCCACAGUUGUAGGGACCUACAUACCAAGAAUUUGGUUUUCUUUCUGUUUGCUUUCAUAUUUUAAUUGUGCAAUGUUUCAAACUUAUCCAGAAGAGAAUAAUAUGACGAGAUCCUGAGUACCUUAAUUCAUCCUCAAUAAUGAUCAGCUCAAUUAUAUGUAAUCUAGAUUCUACUUGACUCCUACCCCCAAUGUACACACUGGGUGUGGACUGUGGAUUAUUCCUUAUGCAUUUCCAAGCCAGUGUACCACUUGUUUCUGUGUGUGUGUGUGUGUGUGUGUGUGUGCCUCCCCCUUUCUUCCAAUGCUAUUCCAGUGCUAUUUCUUCUCUUCUAGUACCAUGGUCUGGGAUGAAUGCAUAGGUACUGAGGUAAUGUGAUUUUGCCUAGAUUUCUGUUUGCUAAACAUUGUUUAUUGAAUCCUCUAAUAAUGCUUUGAAGACAGUACUAUUAAUAAUUCCAUUUUACAGAUGCAGAGAAUGGUCUGGUGAGAUGACAUCACUUGUUCAAGGCCACGGAGAUGGCCAGUCUAUGACAUGAAGGAAAAUCUAUCAGAAAAUUGAUCAAUGAAUUUUAACAAAUAGUUAUACUCUUUCCUAAAAGAGGUUUGUUUUCCUCUUUCCUAAAAUAGGUUGGAUUGUUUUCCAUGCAAGAGGAAGCCCUCUUUUUUAAAAAAAAUGAGCCCUCAUUUUUUAUCCAUUGCUGAAGUAGGACAGUGAGAGACUCAAAGGCCUGGCAGGGAUUAUGCUGAGAGGGCAUUGUGACCACUAGCCACAGGUCAGCUCAGGACAUCCAUCUGGGGUGCUGGGGAAUAAAAAUAGGGGAGGAGAACAGUUUAUUUCAGCUCCGAUUAGAACCAGAGCAAAGGAAUCAAUGUUUACCAAAUGAAACUUGUCUAGAAUAGCACUUAUUUCCUAAGUCCCAUAGGUAUUACAAAUUGAAACAGGAAAUGAGAAGCUAUUAAAAUAAAUGAUCCAACAGUGUUCUUUAAACAACUAUCAGCACUUUGAUAAAAAGGAAACCCGUACCACCCUCUUCUAUAUUUUCUAAGCUCAAACUCCUAGAACUUACUUGGUAGGUCAGCACUAAAUUUGGGUGAUGACUGCCAAGUCCUAGAUACUAGUACUUAAUAGAAGCAGAAGUUAAAAACAAUUUCUGUACAUGUGGGUGUUUUGCUUAUAGGUAAUUGGUUGCUAGAGGUAGAGGAAAGUUGAAAACAUGGCUAUAAGAAAAAAACAUAAGAGGCAAGUAUUACAUUUUAUUUAAUUUAAUGUGCUGGAUAGAAAUGACUGAGCCCAUUUCCUCAUGAGCUUUAAAGAAGGUGUUGUACCUCUGUUAAUAUUGUUUCUUUCCUCACAUUCCAUGGAAGUAUCUGUGAAAAGUGCAAGGGGAGAACAAUAGAUGUAAAGUGAAAAUAAUAAUAAUAGUCAUCAUAGCCAUUAUAAUGAUAAUAAUAGCCUGUUUUCCCAGUAUUAUUUCUCAUUAGUACCUAGAGUUAUGAUCAUUCUGUAGGUUUAUAGGACUGAGGGCCUUUUUAAAAGUUUUUAAAUGUUUAUUUAUUUUUGAGAGAGAGGUGGGGGAGGGGGGAGAGGGGCAGAGAGAGAGAGGGGGAGAUAGAGAAUCCAAAGCAGGCUCCAGGCUCUGAGCUGUCAGCACAGAGCCCAAUGUGGGGCUCGAACUCAGGAACUGUGAGAUCAUGACCUGAGCUGAAGUCAGACACUAAACUGACUGAGCCACCCAGGCUCCCCAGGGCUGAGGGCUUUUCAAAACUACUUUAAGGAUAGAGUAAAGGUUACUAUAGUAGGUGUUUUAAAAGUAUAUGAAUACAUCCUAUAAUAUAUACACACACGCAACUGAAUAUAUACCACAUUUUCUUUAUACAUUCACUUAUCGAUGGAUGUUUAGGUUGUUACUGUAUCUUGAGUCCCAUGAAUAAUGCUACAAUGAACAUUCAAAUGCUAAUCUCUCUUCAAUACUCUGAUUUCCAUUAUUUUGGAUAAAUUCUCAGAGGUAAGAUUGCUUUUUCAAAUGGUAGUUCUAUUUUUAGUUUUUGAGGAACCUCCAUACUGUUUUCUCUAGUGGCUGCACCAGUUUGCAUUAUUACCUGCAUGGUGCAAAGGUUUCGAUUUCUCCACAUCCUCACCAGCACUUGUCUUUUGGUCUUUUUGAUAAUAGCCCUCCUGAUAGGCAUGAGAUUAUAUCUCAUUGUGGUUUUGAUUUGCAUUUUCUGGAAAUGAGGCACUACUAAUUAGCAGGCAUAAAGGUUCACUUACACAAGACGAAUAACUUCUAGAGAUCAUCUGUACAACAGUGUACCUAUAGUCAACAAUACUGCAUUUUACACUUAAAACUCUGGAGGGUAGAUCUCGUGUUAAAUGUUCAUACCACCAGUAAAAAGAAAAGUGUAUGAAGAGAUCUAAGUCAUUUUGUAAUUACUUCUAUAGAUCAUGUGUCUUAAGUGGUUCCAUGAAAGUGUUCUUGGCCUGAACCAUGUGCAUCACAGCUUUUAUAAAUGAUGCAUCCAGUCUAUAGGAAGAGGUAAGCUCCAUUUUUCCUCUACAUUCUUUCUUCCUGUCUUGAUGUUUGCUGGCAGUAGGAAGGGCUGAUUGAAAUGACUGGUUAGUACAGUGGACAAUUCCUCAAUAUACUAAAGUUAAAAUUGUGGUAAAUUAAAUGAAUAAGAAAGUUGAAGAGUUUUUGAAGGACUCUGGCUUUAGUUUUUAAAGUUAUACAUGUAUCUUCUGCAAUUAAGUUCCCAAAUUAAAGUUCCCUUCAUACUUUCAAAUUUGUAUCUUCCUAAGGGUACUUAGCCAAAUAUUCCUUCAAAGACCUUGUGUAGUUUAUCCCCAGGGAGGCUCAUUCACAGGGAUUUACUCAAGAAGUAACUGUUAUGUUUGCAGGACGUUUGACAUCCAAGCUUUUGUUCUUGGCUGAGCUGUUAGUAACCUUGGGAGAAGUCCAGCAGAAGUGGCUAUGAGCAAGGAGGGCAGGGAUUGAUUGCUUCUGUGCAUUAAAACAUUGAGUGGGAGCAAAAAAGCACUGCUUUCUCAGAGCCUUGUAAUUAUUAAUACAUGUCAAUACACACAUGUACUUUCAUAACAGACUGAAUACAAUUCUCAUCACGAAUCCUGUGCUUCUGUAUUGUCUUUUAACAAUGUGGUAGACUUAAAAGUUAGCAUGUUGACUGCUAAGUGCAAGUUGUUUACCCAAAUGUGGUCACACUGUGGUGAAAAAAUAGAUACAACAAGAGUCGGGACGUUGGGAAGGCUAUUAACAAAAUUAAAAUCAAACACUUCUCCCAAAACUUUUACCUAACUGAUCCAGAACCUCCCAUUUGGAGACUUCAUUCCAAAUAAUUAUGGAUCAUUCUCUUAUUCUCUAUUAUUUUGUGAAAUCUAUUUAGAUCUAGAUGAGCUAAAUUAGUAGAAUUCCUCCCACAUACAAACAGGUUGAUUUGAGAAAAUAUAUCCAGGCUAUAUCUGGGUGGUAAUAGCUGGUAUUUCUGAAACAUUUAGUUUUUAAACAGUUAUCCUUCAGGGAUGCCUGGGUGGCUCACUUGGUUAAGUGACCGACUUCAGCUCAGGUCAUGAUCUUGCAGUUUGUGAGUUUGAGCCCCGUGCCGGGCUCUGUACCCACAGCUCAGAGCCUGCAGACUGCUUUGAAUUCUGUGUCUCCCUCUCUCUCUGCCCAUCCCCUGCUUGUGCUCACUCGCUCGCUCUCUCUCUCUCUCUCUCUUUCAAAAAUAAAUAAACAUUAAGAACAAUUUAACAAUUAUACUUCAUAUUUUGGGCCUCUUCUAUUUGUAAAAGAGUUCCAGUUUGCUACAGCCCAAUUUCUAUAGAUAGGUUUUUGAGAGUAUAGUUAGGUUGUGAAACAGAGAAGGCGCAUGGCAAUGCCCAGAGCAAAAUCUUGGAUGAAAUAGUACACAGGUCAUCUCUAACCCUUAAGCUGUCUUGGUGUAGUAGAAAAAAAAAAAAAAAAGGAAAGAAAGGAAGAAAGGUGCUUACCCUUUCCUCAAUACAGUUUACUUUCCUUAACAGAAUAGGGUGAUAAGAAAUUAAUUUGUUUAAAGGAAAUUAGAUAUCUUACUGCUGGUCGUGUGAAUGUUUUUCUUAAUAACUACACAAAGAUCUGAUGUUGGCGAUGUGCCAAUCAGAUGCCCUUUAGUGUGUUACCAUUCUGCACUACACAAUCUGCACAAGCAUAUGCACCGGCUCCGUGGUUUGAUGGUUAGUGCUGAAAGCUAAUGAGGAAGGCUUUCCAUUUCCAUUUCUUAGGUCCUGCCGACUGAGAGUUGGGUGAUGCUGACCAUUGUGGUGGCAGGAGUGAUGCUCUGAUACCUUUACCUGGCAGGGGUGGAAUGUUUAGAGGUUAAAGGGGCCCCUACAGAGUACCUUGAAAUACCACUAAAAUGUUAAUAUUUCAGUCUGUCAGGCUUCAUCUUAUAUUAAUUUAAUAUUAGCAAGUUGAAUCAAGCUUUGAGGAUUAAAUAAUUAUGAAAGAAAGACUUUAGCUUGAGAAAAAUUCAGCCCAAUAAUUGAGUGUCUUGAUGACAAUUGGGUCAAGUGCCCCUCUUAAAGCAGCAGAGCAUCUAUCUGAGUGAGGUUUCUACAGGAUUGGAGGUUGAUAUCUCCUCCUUCCUUUGAGAUAAGGUCAAAUAUUAGCAUUUGAGUUAACCAGGAGCUCCAUUUCCACCAAGGGAAGAAACCAGAAAGCUGAAAGCACCUCCAGAUGUCACUAAGACUAUCCAUAUAUACUCGUUUUCUUCUCCUUCUAUGCAUAUUGUAAUACUGCGCUUGAAACCAGCUAUGGCCAUUACACUUGUUUUGUCCACUGAAAUGUAAAUGAAUGUAACUCUACAGGUUUGGCCUCCCCUUGAGAUUGACUUGGAGCAAAGCUCCCAGAUAAUGGGCCGGUAGGUACUAUGAGAGAGAAAUAAACCUUUUAAGCCUCUAGAAGUUGAGAGUUCUCAAAUGUUAGUGCUCAUCAGAAUCACCCAAAGGACUUUUCAAACAGAUUGUUGGGCCCACCUCUAGAGUUUCUCAUUUAGUAGGUUGGUAAGAGAUGUGAGGAGCUCUAACAAGCUGCCAGAUGAUGCCAAUUCUGCUCAUCCAAAGUCCACGCUUUGAAAACUGUCUCAGGCUAUCUUGACCAGGCAGAGAAGAUGCCCUGAUUUAUUUAAGUUAAUAUAAAGGAUGACCAUGUAUUGGUAAUUUAUUCUAUGGUAGGCAUUGUAUUUCUUCACUGUAACCCUAAAACUAUGUUGCAUUAAUAUCACCCAUUUUAUUGAAAACUCAAGACUUCUAGAGCUUACACUAUUGCCCACAGUCUUUUACACAGUAACUGGCAGAUAUGAGAUCUCAGUCUGCCUGAUAUUAAAUAUGAAGCUUAUAUUAAUCUGUUUUUGUAUGAUUCAGACCAUUUUGGAGGUGUUUGAUCACCUAAAUAACGCUGUCUAUCAAACUAGUGGGUUUUUGGAACAUUUUCUCAUGUAGUAAGAUUAUACUGAGUUACUUCAUUUCAAUAUAAUUAUAUUUUAGGAUAAUUAGGUUUUUUUGGAUGUGAUGGAGGCCGCAAAGAUGGAUAAAGUCCAAAAUGUUUUCAAAGAAUUUUCAGUCUUUUAGAGUAAGUAUCCCCACAGCAAGGCAGAUUAUAAAUGCAUUAGGACGAGAAUAAACAGAAGACUCUGGCAGUCCACAGGAGGGAGGGAUUCCACGGAUGGGAACCUGUAACAGUGACAGGUCUUUAGAGCAAUGUGAGAAGGAAACCGUACAAUUGCAAUACUGAGCUGCAAAUCACCACUGAGAAGAUUGGUGUGAUCCAUAAUUUCUUUAAUUAAAAAAUAUCCUUGGGACACUUUAGUUCUUUAAAGGUUAAUUAAUAGAUGUAUUGAGUGCUAUGGUGAGGAUUAAUUGAGGUGGUGCUGGAGGAAUACUGAGGAAUUGAAAGCAUUAUGUGGAUUUUCUGCUAGGUCAUUUUCCUGUGAGACAGCUAAAUAUGAUGGCAGCGACAAGACCAAAUCCCAAAUAAUGUUUCUAAGUAAAUGGCUUAAAUCCUCAAUCUAGUUGUUUUUUUUUUAAUCUAAAAAUGUAAUAGCUAAUAAGUUUAGGAAGUGCACACAGAUGAAAAUGAUUUGUGGAGAUAGUGAUGUAAAAUAUUUUUGUCCCCAGAUUAGGUCCAAUAGAGUAGCUUAGUAGCUUAGUAUAAGUGGGAAGGAAUUGGAAUUUCUUUUGGAAAGAAUCGUCUAGCAUCUGUGCCUUCCAUCAAAUAACUGGCACUUUUUAAGAAGCUAACAUUUGCCAGAAACAAAUGGAGCUGUUUUUGUGAUGCUUCUUUCACACAAACAUGUCACAGUGAAGUCAAUGUGUCAGCUGCCUCAUAAAUUUGAUUGGGUUUUGAACUUCACUUUAUUGCAAUCGCUUGCUUGAGGCAUGUCCAAAAUGUUUUGAGACUGCCAAUAAAGCCACUAGCUGACCAUCUAUAGAGACAUCACUGUGAAGUGUCCUGAUUGUUUUUCCUCCAGAUGUUCUCCACAAUAUUCCUCCCGUGAAUCGCUAACAUUUCUGUAAUUCCAGGCUGACAAGUGGGGAUUGUGGGAAAGUAGGUGGAUUUCACUAAGCAGAGUCUAGCCACCAAUUCCGGCAUCCCUUCUGUGGGCAAGAGAAAUGAGGUCAACAGGGAUGUGGAUUCUGCACUGAGACCGUUUGGAUUAAAAUACACAACUUCACCUUUCACUAGGGAAGACUGAGCAUUAUUCCUGUUUGAGGAAAUUAAGAUCGUGAUGGACUUUGGAUUUAGACAGACUUUUGUCAAAAUCUAAGCUUUACUACUUACUGGCGAGGCAUCCUUGGAUAAGUCCCUUAGCUUCCCUGAGGUGAGGGCUGUGAGUGCCAGGGAAGCUUUGUGCAAGACACGGAUGGGCACGACCUGGAAUAUGGAAGUGAAGCUAAGAUAUUGAAACUCCAAGGCUGCAUUUGAUAACAUAAGUUUAAAAGGAUCUGACUGAUGUGGACAUUCUGGUGGGAUGGAAUUGGACAGGAAAUUUGACCACCUCCAGAUGAGAAGUAUAUUAAAUUCUCUGCAGAAUUUCCCCUUUUGACAUGAAUUCACUGGAUUUCUCCCAGGCACCAAGGUUUCCAUCCUUGUAUGUGCUCUCCACUUAACCCAUAUUAUCCAGUGUGAGGCUGAGGGUGACAACGUAUCAGAGAGAAAAAAAAAAGGGAAGCAAGCAAAGCAUUUCUCUUUGUGUGUAUACUUUAAUUUUUAAAAUGUUUUUAUUUAUUUUUGAGAGAGAGAGAGAGUAUGAGUGGGGGAGGGACAGAGAGAGAGGGAGACACAGAAUCCAACGCAGGUUCCAGGCUCUGAGCUGCCACCACAGAGCCCGACCCGGGGCUUGGGCUCACAAACCACAAGAUCAUGACCGGAGCCAAAGUCAGACGUUUAACUGACUGAGCCACUCAGGCACCCCUGUGUGUAUGUAUUUUAAUAUAGACACCUAGACUCAAAAGCUCUGAUAUACCUGUCUUUUUUGCAGUCAGAACUCUGCUGCUGGGUCUCAAGAUUUUGACUUUUCCUCACAGCUAGUGGGUUUGAGUUUAAUAUUUGUAGGGAAAAGUUUACCAGGCGCGGUGAAGAGUUUGGUUACUUCAGUGUAAAAGGGAGAAACUUACUGCUUGUAGAUAACUCAUCAGACUUUAAAGCCAUGCCUUUAAAAAAAAAAAAUGUUUAUUUUUGAGAGAGAGAGAGAAAUAGAGCACAAGAGGAGAGGGGCAGAAAGAGAGGGAGACACAGAAUCCGAAGCAGGCUCCAGGCUCUGAGCUGUCCGCACAGAGCCUGACACAGGGCUUGGACUCAUGCACCACGAGAUCAUGACCUGAGUGGAAGUCUGACACUUAACCAACUGAGCCACCUAGGUGCCCCUCAAGCCAUGCCUUCUAAAGAGUCUUUGGAGUAAAAAAGGGAUUUCUGUGGUGGUUGUGUUCCAUUUUUAACAUUUUUUAAAUUUUCAUGUCUGAAUCUAACUGGUUUAUGUGAUUGCCCCCGCAUGUGUGCCAGCAAAUGAUUGCGUUACUCCUCGUCCCAUCACUUGAAAUGUGGACUUAGAAUAUAUUCAGUAGAGAACACAUUUUAUUUCUACUAACAUGUCAAGUCAUGAGCAUGGGAAUCAAUAUUAUUGAACCCUAAGGCAUAGCCCAUCUUUACUUUUCAGACUCUGCCUUAGUUGGGGUUUGACAACUCUAAGACAGUAGACAGUAAGGGCUGGAGGGGGUUGAAGGUGGAAGAAAGGCAUGAAAUGAAGUAUCAGUCAUUUCCUAAGUCCAUGGCUUUUCUAUUUCUUUUCUUGAAACAGAUACGGGCUAUAAAAAGGGUCAUAUUUAAAGUGAGUUAAAUGGAAAUUUUAUUUGAAUAAUCACAGAACAUAUUGUCUGUUUCUACUUUUUUCAGAAUCUCUAAAUUUCUCACAUGGUAUUUAUUUUCCCAUAUUAUAAUUCAAGAUGUCAUAUUUUUAAAUUUCAGUUUACUCAGUAAAACCUAUUGCAGUCUGUCAGAGACUUGUUAACUAAAGAAGAAUAAGAUUGCCUACUCAUCCCAACCUGAUCCAGUGGCUUGAACUAAAAAAAAAUAAGGAAAACACAAACAAUUUUGACAAGCAGCACUGUUAACAAUGAGCUGAAGUAUCAGUGGAUAUAUUGGGAAAUCCUCCAUAGAAAAUACUCCUCCGCAGAAAGCAAGGAUUAGCCUUCCAGGCUCAUGAGAGAAGAUUUAUCAAUAUCACCCAAAUUAAUUCUAAAGAAUGGUAAUAUACGUUACAAGAAGUGUGUCUUAUUUGGGAAACAUUACGUUAAGCAUAUUUCACUUUAGGAAUUGCCAGAGGCUUUAACAUACUGCUGCACAUUAAGAGAGUCCAAUGUAUUUGACAAUAGGAACAUUUUUCUCUUGGGCCUUAUUUCAGGACUAAUCUUCAGUAGAGGACAUUUAGGAAAGCUGAUUUAGUUGCCUUAUUUUCAUAUUGAUUGUUUCAAUGUGAUAAGUAGAAUAGGGCACACACGAAACCUUUAAAGGGUGGUAUUACAAACGCACAUCACAUGACUUCAUGUUUUGCAGCUUGGUGUUUCUGUCAGAGUUGUAAAUGAAUCAAGGCAUUGAGCCAGAAUGAAUAGCCUUGCACGGUACUCUUCGAUGUUGCCCCCACCUUUACCCCAUUAGUCCUUCUACCUAGUAUUAGUGCUUCUUCCUGAAAACAAUGUUGCUUUUUUUCUGGGACGGGGAGUAGGAAUGCAGUGUUAAGUGUAAUAAGUGUGCUGCCCCUUUUAUGGCUUCCCUUGCAGCUAGGGACUCAGUUGUGGUCAAAAUACAUACAAUGAGAGCACUGAUAGUAAAGGUCAAGCAUCAUAAUAGGAGACAAUUCUCAGGUACCAGAUCUUUCCAUUUCUGCUUGCAUCAGAUAUGUUUAGACUUCUUGUGUCCAUCCUGUGAAGGUGAGAUGAGAAUAAUGAGGAUGAAGGUAGCAGAGCAGGAUGGAGGAAAAUGGUUUAUUGGUGGCUACUGCCUCAACUGUGAGUGUCUUCACAGUAGAUAUCACUAUCUUAGGAAGCUUAAAAAUUUCAAUAUAAUGCAUUUAUUUGUAUUCCCCGAUAUAAGCAACUUUGCCUUAUUUUCUUUAUCCAAACUCUUUCUUCAUAUUGUAAGUGUUCAGGAUGCCCAGGUGGCUCAGAUGGUUGAGCACCUGACUCUUGAUUUUGGCUUAAGUCAUGAUCCCAGGGCCUUGGGGGUCAAAGUCUGCACUGGGCUCUACCUUGAGCAUGGAGCCUGCUUAAGAUUCUGUCUCUCCCCUUGGGGCGCCUGGGUGGCGCAGUCGGUUAAGCGUCCGACUUCAGCCAGGUCACGAUCUCGCGGUCCGUGAGUUCGAGCCCUGCGUCGGGCUCUGGGCUGAUGGCUCAGAGCCUGGAGCCUGUUUCCGAUUCUGUGUCUCCCUCUCUCUCUGCCCCUCCCCCGUUCAUGCUCUGUCUCUCUCUGUCCCAAAAAAAUAAAUAAAUGUUGAAAAAAAAAUUAAAAAAAAAAAAAGAUUCUGUCUCUCCCCUUCCUCUGCCCAUCUCCCCUGAUCACACUCUCUCUCUCUUUCUCUCAAGUAAAAACAUAAAAAAUAAAAUAAAACAUAUUCUAAGCAUUCAAAAUCAGCAAGAACCUUUCUUUGAAUGUUUUGAACUGUGAUCAAAAAAGUUAAUAACUUUUUCUAACAUAUACAGCAUUCAAACACCUUCUGGUUUGAUUUUUCUUCGCCUGUGUGUGUGUGUGUGUGUGUGUGUGUGAGUGUGUGUGUGAAGGCUAAGCAGGUCGAAGACUGCUAAGAAAUUUGCUUAUGUUCUUCAAAGGCACAAAUGUUAGACCUGUAAUUUUGAUAAUUAAAUAUACAUAUAUUAUAAAUAUAUAAUAUAUAUAUAUAUAAUGGAAAGUGUGUACUGUGUAAAUGUAAAUAUACAAUAUACCAUACAUCUAAAUAUAAAUAUAUAUAUAUAAUGGACAGCGUAUACUGUCCAUAUGUAACUGUAAAUAUAGUUAAUAAAUUAGAAUCCUCACAUCCAGCACAUUCACUAAUCAAUGAUCAUAUGCCAUUGGCCUGCCCAUGCAAAUAGUCACAUGAAUUCUGUGACCCAAACCAGUGCUGAGUCAAUUGGUAGGAUUACUAAUAUCUUUAAAACUUUUUGUGCCUAUUGUGGGACAAAUUGUUUAAUAUGGAGAUUGUUUUUAACUUAAAGACUACUGAUUUGAAUAUUUAUAAAAUAAAGGAAAAGCACCAGCAAAACAUAAUAAUAAUAAUAAUUUAAAAGACUUUAAAAAAGCAAUUAUUAUUGGUUAAAGCUUUGAAUUUCCUGGACCAUUUCAAAUAGGAUUGUUCAACUAACUUGCUCAGUCUUUCUGUUGAUUGUAGUCUGUUUUUUUUUUUUCCUUCCUUCCUUCCUUCCUUCCUUCCUUCCUUCCUUCCUUCCUUCCAUCCUUCCUUCUUUCCUUCCUUCCAUCCUUCCUUCUUUCCUUCCUUCCUUCCUUCCUUCCAUCCUUUCUUCCUGCCUGCCUGCCUGCCUGCCUGCCUGCUUGCUUGCAUUUCAUUCUUUUUUCCCGUUUUAUUCUGGCUGCUGCUAAGUUUUGUAUCCAAGUAGCCAUGCAGCUUGGCUAGCAGGGAUUCUGGGAGCUGGUUACAUGUUCCUGGGGCUAAGAAUUUCUAUGAAAGACUCAAAAUUAGAUGUAGAGAUAUAGAUAUCCAAUUAAUUGCUUUGUAAUCCUAUCUCUGAUGGGAUCAAGAAAAGUUAUAAGUCUGCAUUGGGUAUCAUCAUUGAGAAAUGUUCUUUGCUAAUGUACUUGUUGUAGAAUGAUAUCUUGCUCUUUUAGUUUUCAAAUCACUCUAGUGAAAAUGACAGUGUUUCAUGUUUGUUGAAAUAGUUGAGAGUCCCACUGAAACUUUGGUCAGGAGGAAGCAUCAUAAGGACAUUUAAAGAAGGGAUAAACUGAGGAGCAAGGCUAUACAUUUAACAUUCCAGGUGCUAUUUAAUCACAGGCUAAACAACUAUGUGGUCAGAAUGUGUCAGAGACAGUUAACGAGUAAUAUUUGGAAUAAAAGAACUUUCAGUCUCCUUGAAUCCUUACUAUGUACUUGGGGAUAAAAGAAUACAUAGAAAUGAGUUGUAUAUCAAAGUGCUAGAUUCCAAGCCUGAUGGCUUCCUUCAUUUGUUCACUUCCCUCUACUCUUUACCUUUCCCCCUCAGGAACAAGAUGUUGAUUAUCAUUUAUCUAAUGGCAACUCAGAUUAGCACCUUCGAAAACAUGCCAAGUUUUAACCUAGAAUUUGGGGUAUCUUCAUCUCAAUUGUCUUAAGAUCCUUUUUGUUGUCUUUCUUUCUAAAGGAGAUUUCUCCUCAAUAAAUUGAAGCUCAUUUCAUUUUAAAAUGAAGCAGCUGCACGUGGUGUUAAGUACGGGGACUGUUGUGUAUGAGAUAACAGACUAUUGGUCGGAUAAAAGCUGUGUCUAAUGGGAAGUAGGAUCAAUUUAGCAAAUUGCUGUACUAAUUUCUAAUGAUAGCCUGAUUUGAAAGACCACAUAAUCCUGUGUGAAAAUCCUAAAAUUUUGGUAAUUUGGGGGAAGGUUUCGAGAAACCACAAUUAGAAAAAACUUGUUUGUCUUUUGUUUUGGCUGUUCUUACUGUGAUGCUGAGAUAUGAUGUUGUUUGAGUAUAAGGAUAAAUACACUUCCCCAUAUUCCGGAGUCUACCACUCUAUAUCAGAGGCCAAAAUAAUGGCAGGGGCUACUCCUAGGGAUUCAGUCUAAGGAAGAAGUCUGCAUAAUAUUUGUAACUAUUUCCCCCCAUGUUAUAAAUGCUAAGGCCUGGAGAAGAGGAAAGAGUUCUUCUUGGUUCCCAUUUUAGAAAAAAGAUUAAUCCUUCUAUUAAGAAUUUAUUUUGGAUCAAUGGAUAGAAAUCUCCUGGGCUAUUUUAAUGUUGUCAGAGAUCACUCAGGUCAACACAUUCUCUCUUUCCAUCUCUGAAAUGUCUCAUGAAAAAGGUUAAACAUCUGAUAUCAUCCAGAGGUCUGUAGCUGGGGAGUUGGCAGAACUGAAUUCUCAUCCUAGUUUCAUCACUGACUAGUUUGUUACUUGAAAAGUUUCUCCAGGUAUUGGAGCAGCAGGAACCUCAACUGUAAAAGAACAAAAAUAAAACCAACAGUCCCAGGGAUAGCUAUAAAAUUCUGUGGGAUGGCCACCAAGUCAAGCAAUCUCAUGCCUUCCACAAUACGGUAUUCCCAAACUUGUGGACACUCUAUACCUUGUGUUGUAUCUAAGUGUCUUAAUCAUAGUAUAUAAGAAAUGUGAAUCAUAUGCAUUUGAGGUAGUUCCCAUACAAGCUUCUCCAUCAUACUCAGUAAUGGUCAAUCAAGACUUCAGUAGAUGUCAGAAAUGUUGGCACCUGGUACUUCUGUGGUCGAUAAAGUCAAGUCAAAGAGUAUAGUGAUUAAUCAUAUGGGUUCUAAAGUCUGUUGACCUGUUUUAGAAUUCUAGAUUCUCUCCUACUAGUCAUGUGAAUUUAGGCAAGUAAUUUAGCCUGUCAAGGCUUAAUUUUUCUCACCUGUGAAAUUGUGGCAUCAUAAACCAACCUACUGAGGAAAAUGAAAAUGAAAUGGGGCUUUUAUGUAAAUCAUGGUGCUAGUACAUUUAGGUGAUCCAAUAAAGGUUAGCUAUUAUUUUUACCAACCCAAACCUUUUUAACUGAGUUAUAUUUAGAAGCUAUAAAGUACUGUGUAAAAUAUGACUGAAAUUUCCAGAUGGAUUGUGGUAUUAAGGUAUUUCCCCACUUUAUUUUCCUUCUAUAAGCAUCUGUAAGCAUCAUUAAAUUAUGCUAAUAAACACUGACUUAUAUCCUCUACUUCUACCUCUAUCCUCUUAAAUUUUUGUGUUUUUUUAGGAAUACUUUAUUUCACAUAAUAGUUCCCUUGUGAGCAAUUUAGAGACCUAAGAGAGCUUUCUCACUGAUUAUUUCACUUCCAUUCUGUUAGAGAGAGACCUCCAGAUAACCAAUUCAGACCCACUAGGUUGUUAAAACCAGACCUGUCAUUUAUUUCUUUCUCAAAUAUUUAUUGAGCAGUUACCGUGUUUCAUGUAAACGUCUAGUUGUAGUAGUGGAUAGUGAGGGUAUUAAGGAAUCCAACUUUCUCUAGUCCCAGUGAAUGGAAGUCUGAUACCCUCCUGAAUUCGUUGCUGUGAGUGUCAGAAUUAAAAUUCUCAGGACCUGAGAAAGCUCUCCAUGGAGGGUGGUUGGGGGGUGAUGAGUUUGGAAAGAGUUAGCAAUCAGUCUCUCACUCCAGAGGGUCCUAUUACUAUAAGUGGGGUCUGUAACCUGAAGAAAAGGGCCCAUUUUUUCCCUUAAUUUUUAAAUUGUUAUUUUGUGGCCCAUGGAUGUCCCUGUCUCUCAGGGUAUAAAUAGCAAAGAUUUUAUUCUUCUCAUUCCCUGUUCUUGGAUUCUCCCUCCCUCUUAACUUUAGGUCUCCACUCUGCACCACUCUGCAUUUGCUCUUUCCUGAGCCUCUCCAUUAAAAGGAUGUUGCAAAACAUGCAGUUUUUUUUAAAACAAAACAUUUUGUUUAUGAUACUAGUAAAUUCUCUUUGGAUUUGCCAAAUACCCACUGUGGGUCUGAAGGAUUUAUAUGGAAAUUAAGGCAGCACUACAUCUGCCUAAUUAGACAGAUGUACUCAUAAAAGGAGCCCCGUGUCUGCUGGAACAGGAGGAGGAUUGGGCUGGGGAGGAGGGGGCUGGAGCUCUUCCUCAGCUGUGAGGAGCUGUUAGCACACAGGCUCUAGUCUCCUGGGACACUUCCCUGCUCCACAGGCAAAGGGAGGAUAAGUUCUUUUUCACAACCAAUAAAGUACUCAAAUUAACCUCCCUCACCACUGUGACAUAAGUAAUGCCAACUUUAAGGAAAGCAGUUCACAGAUUUCCAGAAGAAUGGCAGAGACCUAGCCACUUUACUGGUAGAGAGGUUCUAUACCUGUGUUGCACAUGAGAAUUACCUGGGGACCCUUACAACUUCUUAUGACUGGGGCCACCUAAGACCAAUCACUGUCUUUCAGCAUCCUCCCAAAAUCAACUUGAGGGGGAGGAUAUAGGUCCCAAUGUAAAAGAAGAAAAUCAGAAUUUAAAAUUGUUCCCCUGUGGUGUUCACCAUGCCUGUUAGAACAAUUUAGCAACAUUGAUGGGCCAAAUCACCAUUGCCUGACCUCGUCAUUUGUAACUAAAAGUGGCAUACAAGUGCUCGGAACUGAUAGGGGUUCACAAAACACAGCACAGAGCAGGAACAGAGAGACAAACGCUAGCAUGUUUAGAAACUUCGGCCACACAGCUACAGAUACAUAUUCAGGCACACAGAUUCAUUCCUAGAACCUCAUGAGCGGGUUCCUAGACAUGUGCACACUCAGAUGCACAUAAACACAGAGAUCUCAUAGGAAAGAGAUCCACAGAUACAGAUUCACACAGACGUAAGUAUUGAGACACAAAUAAACAAACACAUGCGUGUUUGGAUGCAUACAAAAGCCCACAUGUAUCAAGUUAGCCCCAAAUGUACAGCAAGACCAUUAGAGAUACUCAAAAAGAGAAAGCAGAAUUACAGAAUUAACCUCAUGGUUAAUUAUAUCUCAAGAAAGCUAUUGAAAAAUUAAGACUAAAAAUUGCAGAGAUAUACUUAGCCAACCGGCAAACAAAGAUGUAAGAGGGCACAGACACACUCAGGAAAUAUCCUGUAAAAGUUUUGGGUCUUUUCUAUUUGUGUGCGAGUGUCUACAGGUUUUUGGAGCGGCAUUGUGAUGUUCUCUGCUGCCUCUGGGUGGAAAUACUUUUGCCAGACUCCAUUGCAAGUUCCCUGGCCCCUUGCCCAGAUAGAGCGUGUGGAAGACAGGAUUGAAAGUAUAGUCUCCAAGGAGAGAAUUAUCCAUAUUUUUCUGGAAAAGGAGAUUCUAUUGAAAAAGUUCUUCUCAUGUGAAUCUGAAAAUUUGAAGAGCAAGUAAAGCAUGUUUAAUUCAGGUUUGAAAUAAAACAUCCUGUAGCAAUGAUAAUUAAGAAGUAAUACCGGGGCACCUGUGUGGCUCAAUCGGUUAAGGGUCUGACUUUGGCUCAGGUCAUGAUCUCACCGUUUGUGAGUUCGAGCCCCAGGUCGGGCUCUGUACUGACAGCUCAGAGCCUGGAGCCUGCUUUGGAUUCUGUGUCUCCCUCUCUUUCUGCCCUCCUCCACUUACACUCUGUCUCUCUCUCUCAAAAAUAAACAUUAAAAAUAUUUUUUAAAAAAGAAGUAAUAUCUUUGUGGCCUUGUAUAGGUACAAGUUGUCGCAUACCUACUAACCAGUUAAUUAUAUCACAGAGCUGUUCCCUAUGAUCUCAGUUGAACUUCAGAGUGAUCAAAUGAAUAAGAAUUAUGUUUAUAAACAUUUUACACUCAUUGAAAUUACUGUCCAAAGAAGCUAUGUAACAUCUAGCCACGGAGUUGAAGGUUUUGAAGUCAAAUUCACAUCUGAUAGACUUGUGAGUCAGUGCUCUUGACAAUGUGUGCUAAGUCCUCUGCAGACGCUGGGCUUGGGGUUGAUCUUAUGGCUCAUCUUACUUUGCAUAUGGGAAAACUUACAUUUGCAUAUGGGAAAAUACUUUACCCCUAGCUACCAGGGACACAUACAGACUUGAAGCUAAUAUUCUGAUUCCUGUUCUAGGACUGAUUUCACCAGAUAAAUGAACCUUUAAAGUAGUCCAUGGGCUGUAUAUGAGCUGGACUAGGUGAAGAAACUAAAGCUUAGGAACCAAGAUUAAAUUAAAAGCCCACUGGCCAUAGCUAGAACAUCUUCCAAAGGAGAAUGGGUUUCCGUGGAAGACAAAGGGGGUUCUGUCUACUUCUCUGUACUCCUCUGUUGCUUUUCUGAGGAAUAUGAAACUAUUCUCCCUAGCAUUUGGGCCAGUGACCAAAAAGUUCUUGGAGGUGAUUGCAUUCUAUCCACAAGAGUGGAGGUACAACUUGGCCCUCAGGAAGAGGUCUUGUCCAUUUGUCAUUUUCUCAGGGUGUGGGUCUGGCUGGGAUGAAACAUGUUCAGUAAGUGGGAAAGCAUCCUAAUCACAUUGUAGCAUUUCCUCUAAAUUCUCUCCCCAGAAUCUGAUUAUGAUUAUGAAAUUCUUUAGUAUUUAAUUCCAUGGGUAAGUGAUUAGGGGGAAAAAAAAUUAAGACUUCUUAAAGAAGGUGAUCAUGCCAAAAAAGGUGGAGAAGCACAUUAGAUUGUAUAUUAUGAAUCCACAUAUUAUUCAUUGAAACAUUUCAAAUUGUUGUCAACUUCAAAACUUAGAUUUUAUGUAAAAAUCUCAAUUCAUUAUGUCUUUUUAAAAUGAAAAUCAGAAGAUCUGACAACUCUGGCAAUGGUUUCCAUGGCAAUAAUUGACCAAACUUGUGUACCAGUUUCACCCAUGAGUAGGUCAUAGCUCUGUUGUACAUCACAAUCUCUAUACUCCCACUAAUUAUGUUCAUUCUGACCCAUUUCACUUAUCUGAGUUACCUGUCUGGACAUUGCAGCUAUGUAUUUAAACUCCCAGUAUUCAGAUAAAAAUCAUCACAAUUUCAGAGACAGAUGUUUUAGCAGUCCAGGGAGAGAGAAGUCAGUAAAAGAUUGAGAGCUCAGAGAUGGCUUCAUAAGGAAAGCGGGAAUUAAGCUGUCUUAUAACAAAUCAAGAUUUAUUGAGGCAAUAAAGGAGGGUACUUUCAUGAAGGGUGUAUAAUAAGGGGAACAAAGUUAAGAUAGUGCAAAAUUAAAUUCUGGUGGACAAAAGACCAACUGCACAAAGUGAAACUUUUAAACAUUUUGAAUAAAAGGUGAAACAUAUUUACAAUCUUAGGUUUGCAACGAUUUUCCUUUUUAAGCAACAUAAAAAAGGACAAACCAUAAAGGAAAAAAAAUAGAUAAGUUUGAAUCCAUUCAAUAAAGAACAUCUGUUCAUCUAAAGACAUCAUAAACAAGGUAAAAAGACAAGGAACAGAUUUUGAGAAGAUAUUUGCAAUGCAUAAAACUGACAAAAGCUAAGUAUCCAGAAUUUAUAGAAAGCCUCUACAAAUCAAAAUGAGAAAAAGAUAAACAACCCAAUGGAAAAAUGGGCAAAAUAUAUGGAAAUGUCAUUCACAAAAGAUAAAAGACAAAUGGCCAAUAAGUACAUGAGAAUGUGCUCAGUCUGACAUGUUAUCAAGGAAAGGCAGAUUAAAAUAAUAGAAAGCUAUUAUUCUGUACCCCUGAUACUUACAUAAAUCUAAAGUCAAAUAAUGCCAAAGGGCUAGACACAGAUAUGACAGAUUUCAAAAUCCAUCCAGUGAGAGCUGGUACAUUCUUUCGGGGGGCAAAUGACAAUAUUAAAUAAAUUGUGUUAUAUACAUACUUUUAAAAAUAUAUAUAUUUAUUUUUGGGAGAGCGCAAGCCAGGGAGGGACAGAGAGAGGAAGACAGAGGAUCUGAAGCUGGCUCUGCGCUGACAGGCUGACAGCAAUGAGCUCAAUGUGGGGCUCAAACUCAUGAACUGUGGGAUCAUGACCUGAGCCAAAGUUGGGAUCUCAACCAACUGAGCCACCCAGGUGCCCCAGUAACUUUCGUAUGUUCGUUGAAGAAAUUUUCACUCAUGUGGAAAAGAUGAUGUAUGCCUGACUGUUCAUUAAAUUCUUGUAUGUGAUUGGGAAAAAAGUUAAAACAUCUUAAAUGAUCCUCAACAGAAAAAGUCGGAUAAGUAAAUUAUUAUAUAGUCACAAAAUUAUAAGCUAUUAGAUAGUGGAAAUAAUUGCACUAAUACACCUGUCAACUUAGCUAAAUCUCCAAAAUCUUCAAAUAAUCAAAAUAGAGAGAAAUGCACUCAACCAAAUAUAAAAGCAAGGAAAACAAGAGUGAGUAACAUGAUUUGUUUAAAAAAACAAAACAAAACGAAAAAAACCUGUCAGGAUAGAAAUGGGUUUGUUCCCUGGGGGAAAAGAACCAUUAUAGAUUCAGGUGGAAGAUGGUAGUUUCUAGUUUCAAAACUUAUGUCUGAAAAUAAGUCUUUUGCAAAGCAGCCAGUCCUGAGAGACGGAAAAAUCAGUUGAUGUUUUCUUCAGUAUAGACAUCUCAUCAAGGAAAAUAGUUGGGCUCACAUAGACCAUUCCCUAUAUUAGAUAAACUUCUCUUCUUUGUUCACUUGCUUACAAUGACCUUACUGCUCUCAUGACCCUCUCUGUCCAUUCCUAGCCUCUGCUUCUUGAAUACAUACAAACCAGCCAAAAACAGAGCUCUGAAAAUUAUACUCUCCUUCUCAGAAAUGCCAGAUCCUCAUUAUCUAAUCAGAGGGAGCAUAGACUUUAGUCAAAGUCCAGAUCCUGUAUUCUCUGAGGUUGUUUUUUUUUUCUUCUUUUAGAAUAGUUUUUGGUUUAUAGCAAAAUUGAGCAGAAAGUAUAGAGAGUUCCCAUGUCCCCCUACCCCCACAAAAGCACAGCUUACCCCACUAUUAACAUCCCAUACCAGAGUGGUAAAUUUGUUAUAAAUGAUGAACCUACAUUGAUACCUCAUUAUCACCCAAAGUCCCUAAUUUGUAUUAGGGUUAAAUCUUGGUGUUAUACAUUCUUAUGGGUUUUAAUAUAUGUAUAUCACAGGUACUCACCAUUAUAGCAUCCUACAGAGUAGUUUCUCUGUCCCCAAAUCUUCUGUGCUUCAUCCCUUUUUCUCUACAACCGCUGAGAACCACAGAUCUUUUUACUGUCCUCCAUAGCUUUGCCUUUUCCAAAAUGUCAUACAGCUGGAAUUAUAUAGUGUGUAGCCUUUUCAGAUUGGCUUCUUUUGCUUAGUAACAUGUAUUUAUGUUUCCUCCAUAUAUUUUCAGGUUGAUAGCUCAUUUCUAUUAGCAUUGAGUAGUAUUCCAUUGUAUGGAUAUACUAUACUUUAUUUACCCAUUCACCCAUUGAAGGGCAUCUUGGUGGCUUCCAAGUUUUGGUAAUUAUGAAUAAAGCUGCUAUAAACAUCCAUGUGCAGGUUUUCGUGUGGACAUAAUCUUUCGUCUCCUUUUGGUAAAUACCAAAGAGUAUGAUUGCUGAAUUAUCAUAUAUGAUAUCUGAACUAUAAGAGUAUGUUUAGUUUUGGGAGACACUUCUAAACUGUCUUCCAAAGUAGUCGGAUCAUUUUGUAUUCCCACUGUCAAUGAAUGAGAGUUCCUGCUGCUCUAUAUCCUUGUCAGCAUUUGGCGAUGUCAGUGUUCUGGAUUUUGGCCAUCCUACUAGGUUUGUAGUGGUAUCUUACAGUUUUCAUUUGAAUUUCCCUAAUGCCAUACAAUGUGGAACAUUUUUUCAUAUGCUUAUUUGCCUUCUGUAAUCUUCUUUGAUGAGAUAUCUGUUAAGACCUUUUGCCCAUUUUUAAAUCAGUUUGUUUUUUUAUUGUUGAGUUUAAAGGGUUUUUUGUAUCUUGGAUACCAGUCCUUUAUCAUAUAUGUCUUUCGCAAAUAUUUUCUCCUGUUCUCAUUCUCUGACAUUGUCUUUUAUAGAGCAUGUUUCAUUUUAAUGAAGUCCAUCUUACCAAGUAUUUUUUUUAAUAGUCACGCUUCUGAUAUGGCACAGCCUCUGAUUUUUGACUCCAGCUUUACUUUCUAUCCUUCCUCAGCUCUUCAUCUGUUGUGUUAAUAGGUCUUUACCAUGAACUUUAUUGUGAUCACAGGGAAUUGAGAAGGAGCAAGAGAAACAAUAGGGUUAUUUUUAGGUAGCGCAUACACCCAAGUAGAGGCAGGCCAUAAACACACUGACAAAUAAGAGAAUUUCAGAGACUAUCAGUGCUAUGAAAUAUGUAAAACAAAAAUAUGGUACAGUUUCACUGGGUACACUAGGCAAGGUGAUCAGUCUAUGCCACUGGGUAGAUGAAACCCAAGCUGACACCAGUAAGAUAGGAAACAGUCAUGUAAACAUCUGUGGGAGGGAAGGGUCAGACUCCUCUCCCGUGCUUGGGGCCCAAGUACCCUCUCUACCCUGAAGGCAUCUCUUCCUCUUGUCUAGCCUGGUUUUUUUCCUACCUGGAACACCUCCACUGAUACCUGCUUGUGACAGUCCUACUGCACUUCACAUGGCGCCUCCUCUGUGACAUCUUACCUGACUCACCGCAUUCAGUGCUAUUGAUCCUGCCUCUGCCAAUCCCUUAAGUAGUAAGGUCAGCCUGUUCUCUCUGCUAGUCUGGGCUAUUUUGAUUACCAGUGAUUGAACCACUGAAAUAGGCAUAAAGGGGAACAAAAGAGAAAAGAGGGCAUAUGUUGGGUUAGAAAGCAUGCCAUUAAAAAAUGAUGACAGGUUAGAGCUUCUUAACCCACCUUCUAAUUUUAGUACAUGGUUUUUUGAAGCAGAGGUUUGUUCUCUCUGGCACAAUCUAUCACUGUGUCUUACACAUAUUAGGUGCUUAUAAAACAUAGGUUGAAUAAAUCUUUGUAUGCUGUUUAUCAUUGUUAUUAUUGGCUAAUACUUAUUGGGUACUUAUGUGCCAAGCCCUGUGCUAAGAAUUGCUUAUUCAUGGUCUUACUUCCUAUACAUAGCCUGUGAGCUCGGCAAUAUGAUUAUUUAUGCUUUACCGAUCAUGUUUUCAGUAAAAAUGUUUAGCUACUACAAUAACAAGACAAGGUAUUAUUCUUCGACCAUUUCUUUGGAUGAGAACAGUUUGGUGAAGCACUUUUCUUUUAAAAACUUUCAACUCACCUGCCAUUUCCUGUUGAUAAAAAGAAACAAAUUGGUAGUGGCCAGGGCUGACAUAUUGGGUUACAUCAGUUGGACCUAAAACUAUUUCUCAGGACAUUGCAGCCCAUAGGUUAUAUGCAAGAUCAUUUUAUUAGCCCUUAUUUUUUAAUACAUUUCUUGAUCUUUUUUUCCAAGUUCCUGCUUCCAGUCUUUAAAAAAAUGUGGAGCAUACUCUUCUUCUAUUUGCCUUUAUGCUUGGCCUUGUCGUCUGUUUGCCCGGUGGAGUAUGGGAAUAGGUAACAGGCUCCAUUUCUAACUCUAGGCCUUACAAGCCCUGGUGUGUUUCCACUUACCAUCUUUCAUUCCUGGCAUCUCUCAGGAGAGUUUUCUCUGAGUUUCCUCCCUCUUCAGUCUGGGCCCCAGAAUGAACUCAUGUCCGUCAGGACUGCCCCAGCUGACCAUGCACUAUAGACUGCAGCAUGAAGUAGGGGGGUCAGUGGACUCAACAGCCUGAAUCUGAUCCACACCAUGAGAAAAAAGUGUGUAUUGUUGUAUGUCACUGUUUGGUGCCUGUUGCUUAUGUAGCAAUAAAAUUUAAAUAUCUAUCAAAUAAUUUUUAUGAGGAAUAAAAGUAGAAGUAGUUGGGGGAAGUGAUCACCACAGGAAUCUGUACUUUAUUUAACCUAAGGCACAGUAUCAUUCUCUCUCUCUUUCUUUCUCUCUCUCUCUCUCUCUCUUUCUCUCUCUCUCUCCUGUCUUUUUCCUUUCUCUAGCCCUUUCCUUCUGCCUAAAUCAGGUUUAAUAAGAUUGUUUACCUAAGUUAGCACGGGGAAGUAUUUUUGCAAUAAAGAAUAUCGCAUUAUGCUGAACUAAGCCCCAGAAGGAACAAGAAAGGUGGCAAGGCAAAAAGAGCUAAGAGAAAGCCACUGUGGAUCAAGAUGGUUUUAUGUGUUUUCUGGGAGUAGAUGACAUGCGGGUACAGAUUACUUUCAUUCAUCCCCACACUGGCUAGCUCUGUCCGCUUCUCCCAAGUUUAGAGUAUCAGCUUCACAAAGUAUUUUUGGCAAAGAAAGAGGCAUUUUGAAGCAUUUGUCUCUGUAAUACCUAGGCUAUGGCACGAUCUUACCAGAUGUUGGUCAAACAAAUGAAUGAAUGAACAAGUAAACCAAAUAAUCAAUGAAUCAAUGAAUGAUAAUCAAUAGAAAAGAUUAUCAAUGAUAACAACAAUGAUCCCAACAGCAACAUAAUUUAUUAGACACUUAAAAUGUGACCAGAUUAGAGCUCAUCCUUUCCUUCCUUUUCCCAUUAAAUCUUUAAAAUGUCCUAUUGAUAUAGUUGAGAUCCAUCUCACAAAUGAGAAGAUUGAGGGUGGAGCAAUUAGCUCAGAAUGAUACAAGUGGUAGUAACAUCCUUCUAGACAUGUCUCCCGAGACAAGGGAAACAAAAGCAAAAACAAACUCUUAGAACUACAUGAAAAUAAAGAGCUUCAGCAGAGCAAAAGAAAUAACCAACCAAACUAAGACAACCUACCGAAUGGGAGAAGAUAUUUGCAAAUGACAUAUCUGAUAAAGGGUUAGUAUCCAAAACAUAUAAAGAACUUAUACAACUCAACACACACACAAAACAAAUAAUCCAAUUAAAAAAUGUGUAAAAGACAUGAACAGACAUUUCUCCAAAGAAGACGUACAGAUGGCCAACAGACCAUGAAAAGAUGCUCAACAUCACUCAUCAUCAGGGAAAUGCAAAUAAAACCUUCAUGAGAUAUCACUUCACUCUAUCAGAAUGGCUAAAAUAAAACACAAGAAACAACAAGUAUUGACAAGGAUGUAGAGAAAAAGGAACACUUUUGCACUGUUGUUGGGAAUGCAAUCUAGUUCAGCCACUGAGGAGAACAGUACAGAAGUUCCUCAAAAAAUUAAAAAACCCUACUAUCCAGUGAUUGAACUAGUGGGUAUCUUCCCAAAGAAUAUGAAAACACUAUUUCAAAGGGUUAUAUUCUCUCUUAUGUUUAUUGCAGCAUUAUUUCCAAUAGCCAAACUAUGGAAGGAGCCCAAGUGUCCAUGGAUAGAUGAACUGAUAAAUAAAAUGCUAUUAUAUAAGUUUAUAUAUAUAUAUAUAUAUAUAUAUAUAUAAUAUUAGGUAUAAAAAAGAAUGAAAUCUUUCUACUUGAACAACAUGGAUGGAUCUAAAGAGAAUAAUGCUAAGUGAAAUAAACCAGUCAGAAAAAGAUGGAUAUCAUAUGAUUUCAUAUGUGGAAUUUAAGGGGGAAAAAAUGAACAAAGGAAAAAAAAUAGACAAACAAAAAAAUAGGCUCUUAACUAUAAAGAAUAAACAGUUACCAGGGGAGGAUAGGAGGAGGGGAUGGGUGAAAAAAGGGAAGGGGAUUAAGAAUAAACUUGUCUUGGGGCGCCUUGGGUGGCUCAGUCGGUUGAGCGUCCAACUUCGGCUCAGGUCACGGUCUCGCGGUCCGUGAGUUCGAGCCCCGCAUCAGGCUCUGGGCUGAUGGCUCGGAGCCUGGAGCCUGCUUCCGAUUCUGUGUCUUCCUCUCUCUCUGCGCCUUCCCCGUUCAUGCUCUGUCUCUCUCUGUCUCACAAAUAAAUAAACGUUAAAAAAAAUUUAAAAAAAAAGAAUAAACUUGUCUUGGGGAGCACUGAGUCAUAUAUGCAACUGUUGAAUCAUUAUAUUGUACACCUGAAACUAAUAUAACACUGUAUGUUAAGUAUACUGGAAUUAAAAUCUUAAAAACAAUGAAAUUGGUAAUAAAGGCUAAAAGUGAGAUGCAACUCCUACUUCUCAGGCUUUACAGAAACUCACUCACUGAAUUACUUUUAUUGUUGUGGCUUAUAUCUGUUCUACAGAUGAGACAACAUGGACUUAAAGACAUAUGUGAGCCUUGUGUUAGCCACCCGGAAGGACCAGCAGCGGGCAGUGUGGAGAUGAGAACUGAGAUUUGCUCUAUGGAAAUCGCAAAAUUAAGAGAAACAGAUGUGACUCCAAGGCCAAGGGUCCUACAAUUGGAAAGAACACCAAUACCACACUAUGAAAUCAGGCUUUGAGGCCCACAGAAGGCUCAGCCAUUGUGCUGCCAUGCUGACCCUCCCUUCUGAAGGUGAAGAUCUGAUUGUAUUCUACUGCUUACAUAAACUGCCUCUCUAAGGGAUUGUCACUGUCAGUACAUGCUGUGAUACCUUGUGAAGAUGAGAUUUGAUUUCUUCUCAACAAAUAGUCUUUCUUCCUCUCUUCACUGCCAGAUAUGCUGAGAAUUACACUGCUUAGACUUUCUUCCCUUAGACCAGGAUUUCUCAGCCUCAUCAACUUUAUCACCGUUAACAUGUGCACUCAAAUAAUUCUUCUUUUUAUUUGUGGAGGGGGUCUGCCUUGUGAAUUGUAGGAUAUUUAACAGGCUCCCUGGACUCUACUCAGUAGUCCCAAAAAUUCUCAUGCAUCACCCCCCAUUUAUGGAUUGUGAAAGUCAAACUGUCUAGCUUAGUUCAAUUAAGAAUUCCUGUUAAGAUUCUAGGAUGCCCAUUAAGUUGGCUCAUCAGUCAAUUACCCCUUUU